AGGGAGAGGAGAAAAGAGAAGAGAAAAGAGAAGAGAAGAGAAGAGAAGAGAAGAGAAGAGAAGAGAAGAGAAGAGAAGAGAAGAGAAGAGAAGAGAAGAGAAGAGAAGAGAAGAGAAGAGAAGAGAAGAGAAGAGAAGAGGAGAAAUGUGAAAGUGUUGUGGUUUAACCUCAUUGGCAACUAAGCACCACACAGCUGCUCACUCACUCCUCCCCAGCCAGGUAGCAGAGACAAUCAGAAGAGUAAAAGUGAUAAAACUCAUGGGUUGAGAUAAAGAGAUUAAUAAGUAAAGGAAAAGCAAUGCAUGCAGGUGAAGUGAAACAAGGGAUUCAUUCACUGCUUCCCAUCAGGUGUUCAGCAGGCAGGUGUUCAGCCAUCUCCAGGAAAACAGAGCUCCAUCACAAGUAAUGGUGACUUGGGAAGAAAAAUGCCAUCACUCUGAGUAUGCCCUCUUCCUUCUUCUUCCCCCGAAGUAUAUGCGGAGUAUGUCAUAUGGAACAGAACAUCUCUUCAGUUAGUUGGCAUCAGCUGUCCUGGCUGUGUCCCCUCCCAACCUUUUGUGCACUCCUUGCCUUCUCAUAGACAGGCUAGUAUCACAACCUGUAAAGUCCUUGACUGCUAAAACAUCAGUGUGUUAUUAACAUUCUUCUCAUACUAAAUCUAAAAUACAGCACUGUACCAGCUACUAGGAAGAAAAUUAACUCUAUCCCAUCUGAAACCAGGACAUAAAGGAAAGGAAAUGGAAGGAAAAAAGGAAAGGGAAAGGGAAAAGGAAAGGGAAAGGGAAAAGGAAAGGGAAAAGGAAAAGGAAAAGGAGAGGGAAAAGGAAAGAGAAAAAGAAAGGAAAAGAUGGAAAAAAAUGUGAAUGAAGGAAUGCCAGAAAAUUGUUUCCUUUAUGUCAAAUAAUCUGCAAAAUUUGUUCCUUUUAGAAAGCUAAUGAAAAUAUAAGCAAUACAGACACCUGCAAAAGUAUUUUUCUUUUCGAAUGAAAGUCUUGGGAUAAUUCAGGCUGCAGGAGACCUCAGGAGGUCACUAGCCCAAUCUCCUGCUCUAAGCAGGUCAGCUCUGAAGUCACAACAGGUCAUUCAGGUCUUUAUCCUGUUAGGUCUUGGACACCUCCAAGGAUGGAGACUGCACAAACUCACUAGGCAACCUGUCCCACUGCUUGACUGUCCUCAUGGAGAAAUGCAGAGUGAAAAGUAAGAAAAACAAGGCAGUCCCCACCUCUGGCUUGUUGGCAGCAGGUUGUUUUGGAGAACUUCAAGAGCUCUUCGCAGACACAGGAACCAAUUUAACCGAGAGAGAGGAGGUUGCUUGCAGUAGGUGCCUUUCUCUGCUGCCUUGUGUCAGGGAAAGUGUUGAUUGCUCUUUCAGAUUUUGGCUGGGGGCAGUAUUAACCCCCUUUGUCAAAAACAAGUAUGUUUGCUGGAUGAAAUGAUAUUAUAUUAAAAAUUAGUGUACUGGGGAAGUUUUGUGGGGUGAGUUUCUUACCAUCUACCUGCAGUCAGUUUUGAAAAUAACUGGUGUAAGCUUAAAUGCAAUUGGUCUACCACAGAUGAAGCCAAAGGGUCUAAUAUUAAACAUGGAAGUUGUCUGUGUAUAUUGACCUUAAUGGGGCAACCAAUGAUUUAUCCCAGCUGAGAAUCUGGCUCUGCCUGAUCAUUUAUUUCCUUUGUUUUCUCCUCUCCCUUACUGUUCCUAUACUUGGCUUCUCUCAUCCCUCCCUGCUCCUUUUGCAAUCAUACAUAUAUAUAUACAUCUAGACUUGUUUCUCAUUCAUGGAUUUUUCAUUUUGCUGUCAGCCUUAAGGCUGAUUUCUGAAGAGAGGCAGGAGUGCUUCAGGUUUUAAGCUCAAGAAAUUUUUGCAGUCUUUAUGCUACUCAGACCCAGCAAUUUGUGUGGGAUAAAGGCAGGCUGUGACUAUCCAGGCUAAAAGAUUGUUUCUUGACAGCAUUUUAAUACCAGAAAUCUUGGUUAUUUUAUUCUGGUCAUUGCUGCUCUAUGGACACAGGAAAACAGUUUGUUCUUUUUGUAUGUCCUGGAAAAUCAACUCAAUUUUCUUUGAAAGCUUCUCUUGCCAGAAUCUAUCCCUUUGAUGCAAAGCCUGAUAUCUUGAUAUUAUGCCUAACUCACAGCAGGGUACCAAAGACCUUGAAUAAUUUACUUCAGAAGUGAGAUGAAACAGAUUUUUCACCUACUGAACUGAUACUUCUUGGAGACUAAACUAUUUUUUUAAAAUGAUAUUCCCCCGAUCUGAUCCUGAAAACAGAGCAACUUAGGACUUGUCACAGCCAUAUUGAUCAGCUGAAGCACUGGAGCCAUCCAUAGGACUAGUACUCUUAUUAGUGAUGAGUUGGUCAAUCUUAUCACUUUCUUCUGACCAUAUCACUUCCAUGCUCCAACCUUGGUGACUUUCUAUAUUGUAUAUCAGAGCUCUUGAACUCUGCAUGGCUUCUUCUUUUAUCAUAUGCGCCAACACAAGCAUUAGACUUUGCCCAGGUUUCUGCUUAUUCACUGAAAGAAGGCAAAAGCACAUAAAAAAGUAAUUUACGGAAAAUGGUAAAUGUGGUGUUGUUUCCAAAAUUAUUUCUUUGUAAAGGAAAGCCCCAGAAAGGGAGGUAAAGGAUAAUAGCAGUAGCAUAAGUAUUACAAACUAUUUUGCCUGAAUUCUUGCAAAUAUGACAGGUUAUAAUUAAGUGACACCCUUUAUAUUUCCUCUCUCUUGCCUUUGUUGGAUUGGAUCUUACUUCUUUUUGCCAAUGUCUUCGGGAGCUCCCUGUUGGUUUUGAUUCUGGUUGGUGCAGAUCUUUGAAGUUCAUUGCUGGAGUAGGUACCAAGAGCAUUUUUCUGCUUCUGCCUUAGUUUGAAAUUUGCUCUAACACUGACAGUUGUUGGAAAGGGGACAGAUAAAAGAGUGAAGUUCCUUCAGUCCUUGGAUAGUAGCUCAGUUCAGACAGGAGAGCUGGUCUGUGCUCAGCCCCGUGUGACAAAACCAAGCACUUGGCACAGGGGCAGGAGGAGCAGAGGAAGAUCAAGGCAGGCAGUGCCUUAUACAGUUUAUUUUUUGGCCUUUCCCAUUCUAGCUCCAGGUUUCAUUUGCUGGUAAGUUUGUAAAACUUUAGCUGUUCUAGGUACAUUCUGCAAGGAAGUUGCCAUCUCAGGUUGAUGUCUUUUUUUUUUCCUUCCCUUUUCUAAUUUAAACUAAAAAUAUGCAGAGAAUGAAUCCGGUGAUAAAAAUAUCAUGUUAGCUGUUAGUCUUCUUUGCUGUUGAGAAGCUGUAGCCCCCCAUGUGUUGAGCCAAAAACUGAAGUCUGCAGCAAGAAGGUUUGUAUUUCAGAUCUGUGCUUUUGUCCUUCCUCUGAAAAAUCUGCUGAUACCAAUUUAAUGUAAUAAUAUUUGAAAAACUGCAGUUUCUACAUCUUUCUUAUCAGAUACAGAGAUCCAAGGACACCACCAUGAAGUGCAAGGGAGCAGGAGAUCAAAAAUUAAUCUAGUGUAAGAGAAGUCUAGUGAUGGGAUACCUGAGAUGAUACUUUGUGGGGAAGAGCAGCACCAUAACCUUUGCACUCUCCUUUCAGAGACUCAAUAAUCUCUGGUUGAUAGCAAACAAUAGUCAAAUCUAGUAGUCAAGUGUCUACUUUAUCUGCAUUUGGUGCUGCUUCUCUAUAGGUCGACAACUGCUGAUAUGGAUAAUGCCACUACCUCAUCUGACAAGGUCUGUAUGGUGUGAGGGUCUCAGGUGAAAUUUUAGCUGAUUUGUUCUUCUCAAGCAGAAAGGUGAAAAAAACUAAGUUAGCCAGAAAGCUGAUGAAUUCUGAGAGCACAGCUAGGGGAAAUCGUUGCCUAAAAUAGCAGAAGGCAGUAGCAAAAUUCUGGUGACCAAACUAUUGCGUGAGCAAAAGGGAAAAGCCUUACUGUCUCAGUGACUAGAAGACAGAAGUCCCUAUUAAGACAUAGACAGAAAUAUUUUAGUCAUUGUUCUCUGUUACAAGGCUAGCAGGUAUUUGCUGAUCAGUUGGCAGAGCUGUAAAGUUCUCACAUGUUAUAUAUUGCAUCCAAAAUAUCUCUAAAUGUUUCUUUCAAUGGUGCCAUUAAUUCAAGACUUCUUUGCUUCAUGCCCUCCCGGAAUGGGGAGGGCAGGCAGAUUCAAACCUUGUAAAAUCAGGAAAUUUGUAGGUAAACUGUUGUCUUUGGAGCUGGCAAGGGACCAGAGUACCUAAUGGACACAGUCCUAAGGUUUUUGCUUUCCUUCACCUGUUUUAGUUUCACUUAAACACUUAAGCACACAGCACUAACACCUCUAGUUUAUAACAAAGGCUACUUUCUUGUCCAACUGACAGCCAGGCUUGGAGCUGGAUAGUGAAGACAGUAAGAAAUUGAACAAGUUAACAAGGAAACUGGUGGCUUUGCUGUCUCCUGUAGCUUUCAAAUCAAGAGUGGAUGCCUUUCUGGAAGGCAGGCUUUAGCCAGUCAGUAAUUAUUUAAUUUCUCACAAGAGUGACCAGAUAGAAUGUGAUGGCUUCUGUUCUGCUAGAGUAUCAGGUGCUCCCUGCCGACCUUAAAAUCUAUGAAUCUCUAAGAAGGAGACAUAAAGAGACACUCAGUCAACAUGCUGUUGUCAACCUGUUGUCAGCGUGGAGUGUUUGUGGAGAACAGGAACUCUCCUUACUCUACUAGACCUGAAUUUCAGCAUGGCUUUGGCAAAGAGCUGUUCAGCUUCACUCUAUCAUGAUUGUGCAGUUGAUUCAGUGUCUUCUGUGAGUCCUGAGAUGGGACCACACAGGUACCAGUGUUAUCAGUGUGCUGAUAGCUGGAGCAGCAAAGUUGGCAUGCUUUAAAGAUCUUUGCAUUUCCUUGUUUCUGUUAUUUACCUUGAAUAUUUUGGAAGUGUCCAAGGUAUAAACAGGUGGUCUUUCUUCAACACUUUUUGGGGCUGUAGUAAACAAUACUAGUUACACAGCAAGAUGUUUCAAAGGGGUUAAAUUUAACCACCAACAAUAUUUUUGUGGCUGCAGUGGCAAGAGUUUUGUCCAUACUGAAGUUCAUGGAAAUCUUGAGUUAUUUACUUCAGUGGGAUUUGGAUAAGACCUGAUGACCUUCUGCUUCCAUUCUUACAGUUAAUAAUGAUGCUUUAUUGUCAAUAGUGGGGACAAAAGGAAGCCAUGAGGAAAGUGUUUACUUUUAAAUGAUUUGUCUUUAAACGAUUUCCACUGUCCAGGGUACUAGGCCACAGACCCUUUUUAGAAAAAUGACUUAACACUGCAAUUAAGUGGGUGCAACUUUCUCCUGUACAAUACUCAUCAGUCUCAUCAGUCUAAAGAAAAUAAGUGCUCUAAAGCAAAUUUAUGAGGUUCUGCAGAUAGAUCAAUGGAUUAGUCAAUAUAAGAGAGUUCAGCAUCUCUCACAAACACUUCGUUCUAGUAGCUGUUGAUUGUCUGCCUAGGAUGGGGUUGCAAGUCUCCCAGAUGUAUCUCCUGCAUACAUCUCCUUCUGCUCUGAACAGACAGGGUCUCGGGGAUGUGGGGAUCAGGCUGUGGAUUUAAGAGGCAAGCAGAAGGAAUGGCCAACUCUAAGGACAAGGUUUGGCAUGAACUUUGUUAAAUUAUCACUUUUUUGUAUGUGAAGUCCAAGCCCAGGGAAUGGUUGCUGUUUGGGCUUUAUAUGUUAAAAGACACCUGGCAUUUGUAAAUGCCUGAGGGAAAUUCAAUAGUUACUAACCCACAACCAGAGCAUGUCCUCAGCUGAGGUAGAAUGCAAAGCUUUCAAAGUGAGAGUGAACUGCAUUUUAUAAUAGUUUCUGGAGAAGUACCUGAUUUCUGAGCAACUGCAAGGAAUGCUUUUGUGUGUUUUUGUUUAGUGGGUUGUUUGUUUGUUUUGUGUUUUUUGGUGUUUGCUUUGUUUGUUUGUUGGUUUGUUUGUUUGAUUUACUCUCUUUUUUUUUCUUUAAUGCAUGCAUUGCAAAUUACCACAGGCUUCAGAUUUUUUAGGGAAGUCACUAAGAGGUAACCAUUCCACAUUUGUAGGAUGGUUCACUGGCAGGAUUUACUCUAAUUGAUCCAUUCAGGAGAGUUAUGUUGGUAGUGAGAAUAUAAUCGACCCGCCGCAGAUUAUUAUUUCUGUCACAGAGCUUCUCUGCAGAUGUGAUAGAAAGUAACUCUGGCAGGAGCUUCCGGGCUUUGGAGAAUCUCAUCAGCCUUGAGCAGCACACAUACUUGUAUGCUACUGAGAUAAACAUGAAAUACAACAUUCAUAAAUACCAGACCCUUGGGCUUGGAACACGUAAUGAAUGUGGAAUGUGUUUCUUAUAUUUAAGUAGAUGUGAGGGAAUGCUACAUACUAACUUAAAAUAGAGUAAUACUCAUUAAACUUCCCUUGUAAAAAUGUGUAUUUAUGUUUCCCCUUAAUUAAUACAUUGCAAAAACAUCUGUUCAUAUUAACUUAGGAAAAUUAUUGACUCAAAUACAAGUUAGAUGAAAAAUCAUUGGUCUCUGACUGACAGACUGAUAGCAACAUUUGCAUUUGGUACCUGUAUCAUGAUAGGUCUGGCAAAUUGUAUCUUACUAGCCCAUUAUUAUUCAGCAAAAUAUCAAUCAUGGAAGAGAUUUAUAUAUUUUUGUCAUCUAUCAUAUAGAAACAAAAUCCAAAAUUGAGUGAGAUUUAGCUCAUGUUGCCAUGAAAACACUGUACCUAUAAAGAACAAACUGUAACUAAAAUGUACUAAGGAGAUUAAUUAAAGAAUAUCUCUUGGUUUUGGAUUUAAUACUUCAAUCAAGUCCUUUCUGAAAUCACGGCAUGCCUGUAAUCUUGCGUUUGUGGUACUGCCAGGGAAAAAACUGCACUACUAACAGCUUUUACAGAAGCUGUGAUUUGGCAUCAGCUCCCCAAAUCCUGACUGUAUUAUCUUCUCACUCACCAUCAGUAGAUUGCCAGGAGUUUUUUGUAUUUAAAUUAAAUAUGAAAAUACAGGAUGUGCAAACUCUGAAGUAACCCAGUAUAUAAAUAAGUUCAACUGCAAUGUGUAUCACUCCAGAAAGUGGUUUAGAGUGUAUUUCUGAAAAUAAAAUUGUUUUCAGAAAUGACACAUUCUUAUCCAUAGAUUUGUGACUUCCUAUGUUUAUUUCAAGAAGAUUGCCUGGUUUUGGUGACAAAUGCACUUUAUUAAUUUUGUAACCAAGAUUACUGCACAGCAAAGAGGCAAUGAACUGUGCAUUCAAUUCUUUGUGUGUGUCAUCAUCAGAGUGGCUUUCCUGACUCCAAGAAGUUGUGCUUGUGCAAAGCCAUUGAAAACAAUGGCAUUGAAAACAAUGUUUCUGAGAGCAGUUAAGGCUGAAAAACUUCUAGCUUUGCUGCAAAACUAGUUUAAGAUUUCCAGCUCUUAGCUCAAGCCUUGGACACACAAACUAUGAGAUGGAAUGAGAUGUUGCUUUUAAAUACACAGAGCAGACUGGUCUUUAUAGGUCAUGUAAACCAGAGUUUAAGUUCAUGCAACUCAUCAGAUUUUGCAAGUCAGUCAUUUGUGGUUCCAUACAAAUCCUACAAGUCUGUCAAUGUCUUGCUGAGAUCAUAUCCCCAUUUCUGUUCCACUUGACCAGACAGAAAAAUUUUCCCUCAAAAGGAGGCAUAGAAAGAUACAGUUUACAGCAGCACCAAGAGUUUGGAAUUCCAGCUCUGGGACCAAAGGCUCUCUCUGUAUUGUCAGAUGACUUCAGGAUCAGUCCCUGGUCCUUGUUCAUCCACACUGCAGGAUGAAUGCAAACCACAGAAUUUUAAACAUGCAUACCUGUAUGGCUGGAAGGAAGAAACCGGAAGAUUUUGUAUUUAUCUGGGUAUGAGAUAAAUAUGAUACUCCACAGUCAGGCCUCUUGUCUCACCCCUCCUCAAUCCUGCAGGGCUUCAGGGGAUUGACCAAACCCAUCCUGGGUGACAGGUAUUUUGCAAUGAAGAUGUUUUGGUAUGAGAAAUGAGCUCUCAUGAAUAGUUCAGGGUGUGAUAAAGUCCCCCUGGUUAGUGCCUGUCUUGCCCAGAGACAGCCCUAACACUUCUUGAUCUGUGAAGGUCACCCAUGCUGUGAUCCUUAGGGCACCUUCAUCUCAAAGCAUCUGAAGAGCAGAUGGGUACCUCCUGAGCUGGCACUCCUGCUCACAAACAGCUGACUCAGCUAUGUGUGGGAUGAGAAGGGAUGCAACCAUAACAUGGAAAGAUUGGCAGACAGGUUGGGAUGUCAACCCUGGGGCCACCAUAACCUCUAGUACUGUUUUUGGAGGGCUCAGUUUCUCUUGGAUUUUUUAUUUGACUUUCCAGUCAGACUGAUAUUUAAAUUUAUCUGGUCUCCAGAAUAUUGUACUGGCUCAUGAGAGGACUGUUUUAUCUCGGAUGAUUUUGAGACUCUGCUGAGGUGGAAAACCUUCAUUUAAAGUCUGUAGAAUGGUUUGUGACUACAUCAGCUGCGCACUGUUUUCUGCUUUUCUUUUGUCUCCUUCAGUAGAGUGUGUUUGAGACUUAGUAGCCUCAUGUGAAAAUGACUCAGUCCCUAAGUCCGUUUCAUUUGGAAACCACUGAGAAACAAUAAACACAGAAUAUCACAUUGACAUUAAUGCAAAACCACUUUUUAGAGCAGAAAUUAACAUUACCAGACACCAACAGAUGGCUUUUAUGAACCACUGACAAGUGCUAUUUGUGGAGACAAUUCAGCAUACUAACCGUGUGUAGGGAACAAGAAACAAGGUUGCCUCAUUUUUAUCAGAUUAUUUAGCAUAAAAACAUCACUUUUGCUUCUCAAAUGUUGACUUAUUCCUCUUGCUGCUGCUUUACUUGAACAGAUUAAACCAAAUUUGUCUAGGGUGAAAUUUUGACUUGAAUUAAGGUAAAAGCUGCCUUUAAUCAAGUACCUCAUGCUCUGUAGCUUCCCAGGCAUUCCUUAUCUCUUAUUUGAGCACAUUACCUACCUCUUCAUAAUUUUAAUUUUGUGUCAACAGUUGCCAAGAUUGGUUGUAACUAUGCUCCCUGACCAGCAGGUACUUUAUCAGGAAUUAUUUAGGAUGGCCAGACUCUUUCAAAAAAACAAAAGCAAUGCUUUAGAAAUAGUUGUUAGUGUUUACACUGGUCUCCAGAGCUUUUCUGGCAAGUGAAGAGAGUUCUUUCUUUUAUACAAACUCCUAGCUUUCCAAUGCCUUCUCUGUUUCCACGUAAGUUCAAUACCUUGGCCAAUAAAGUCACAGAAUUCUGGAAAUAUUUCUCUAUAAACAAAUGUUUUCUCUCCUUAUAACCCUGGAGAGGAAAGAUUGUGCUGGGUGGCAAAGACAAGUUCCCAGAGAUGUACCUAGGACUGUGUUUUGAGCUUCUAACUUUACAGGGGACCUGUUCAUGAUGUAUCUCACAUAUAAGAUUUCUGGUAAACAGGAAUACCAACAGGACUUCUAAAGCAGGCUUUAGGACUUUGCACAAAAGCCACAUCUCCAGUUCAUUUGGGAUAAUUUUUUUUUUUUUUUUUUUUUUUUCUGAACAACACUAAAACCUUUAUUACCAUUUGCCUUCAGAUUUCCCACUGUUGCACCAAGACAGUUCAAGUGGCAACAGUAGGAGAACCAGCAUUUGCAGAAUUGGUAUCAUCUAAGCCAGGUCUUUUAAAUGGUGUUGGUGACUUUGGGCUUUGCCUUAUUUCAGAACCCAGACUGGGAUAUGUUUCAGAGACAAAGAAUUUGAUGUGAUUCUCUGGAGAGACUUAGCAUGGUUCAGGUUAUGCAGUUGGCUAAAGAGGCCUCCAGAAUCAUCAUCAACUUUAGAAAGUGCAGAAUAGCUGAAUAUACUUGUAGUUACUGUGUAUACCUCUGUCGGAUUAACCAUCUUUUUUCAGUGGGAAAUAUGAGAAUAAGUGUGUUUAACAACACAAGCAAACAGAAGUGUAUUGUCCUCAAGCAGUUAAUGAGAUGUGUUGACCACACAGACAACUUUUGAGACUUAGUUUCCUUCCUCUUCUUAAAAUGAGUUGACGGAUCAAGGCACAAAACAACCUCUCUGGGAUACGAUUUGAAUUGCUGUGGCUUGAGAGACAUAUUGCUGUGACCAAGACAUGUGCAAGACACCAGAACACAGUCCUUGUGCACAGACCUGUCAGUAGAAGCUAGUCCAUUCUUAAUCAUACCCAAAUAUUUGCAGACCAGCCUUCAGAGGACCCAUUCUUUCAGAGAAAGAAUCAGUCCAGACACCUAGUACUUCAAAAAAGAGGGAAAAAAACAAACCAAAACAAACAACUUUGAGCUGUUAGGUGUUGAAAACAAAUCUUAAUAAAUAGAACAUUUGUGAUUUUGAUGUACAGUGUUCAAAUUUGAUGAGCCUCAACAUGUUUCUUUGAGAGUCUGUUUAAUUCUUGGCUGGUUUUCAGUGCAUUUGGAACAGGCUCUGAAAAUGUUAGGGCAUCAUAUAGAUAGAGAGGUACAAACACUCUGGGCUGGAGAAACACAGAAAAAUCUAUGCAGUCCGUUUUUCAGUCUGUGGUCUGUGGAUCCCUGGAGGGAGGAUGAGGGCAGGGGGCUAAGAGGGUCAGUGCUUACUUCCUAGGGAUCCUGAAGGAGUAAUUAGGGAAAAAAAAAUACUCAGGCUAACUUAACUAUCCAGGGGUUCCUGUCUCUGCGGGAAAUGUCUUCAGGUCUGCAAAUUAGAAAAAAAAAAAAAAAGUGCUGAAAACCACUAAAAUACACCAACAUUGGAACAACAUAAUCUUUCCAGACUUUGUUGUGAAUUCACUCACUUCCGGGGGAUGCUGAGUGAAUAAUAUCUGACAAUUUCUUUGACUUGUUUGUUUGUUUUCUUUUUUUCUUCUUCUUCUUUUGUUCUGUCUGUAUAUUGAUCACAGUUUUAGUCUGUGCCCCAAGGCUUGUUUGUAAAAUUGGGCCCUAUUGGUCGCUUAUCACAGCGGGGUCUUAGGAGCAGCUGGGUGAACUCCACAGAGUCUGGUGGUGCAGCCCAAUGCUGCAGGCUCUUUGAAAGUUCAACAAACUUCAGUGUUCAAGGGGUCAGGUGGGAUUUGCCUCACAGAGCUACGCAAACAGCCUCACUUCAGGUCUGAAAAGGCUUUUGAGAAUGUUACACAAGGCUCAGUGAGUGUAGAUCCAGCUUGUACAGAUUUAAGGCUCUAUGCAAAUAUUUAGAGCAGUCCUAGUUCCUAGGCUUUGUUCAUUCACUCUGUAAAGUCCUCUUGAAAGACUAAAGGUGUUACCAGAGUGCAUGAUGAAUUAUGGAUUCAUAAUAAAUGUGCCUGAUCUUAAGUAUAUUCUGCACAAAAAGAGCCCAUAUUAGCCAUAAAGAGAAGCAAAAAGACUUCUACUUUGAAGAAUGGUGCAUGCAUAAGGACUCUAUAUUAUUAUAAAGUCAUAUAGAAAACAUCCCAAGGCUUGCUUCUUUGUCUCAUAUGAAUACAGCUUGUGGGCUAAUAGUAUUCUGCCAUUCCAUGGGGUUAACACUAAUCAUGGCUCACAAAUGACCUGCAUGACUUAUUGACAGCUUGAGCAUAUGCUUAUUUGAAUAAGCAGAGAUCUUUUUGAUGGGAAACCCAUGGCAGGAGGUAUAAGGUUUAGACUCUAAUGGUGGGUUAAGGAGGACAUUCCCAGAGGUCUUCAUUCUGGGAGAGUUCAUCACUGUGUUGGGAACUCCUCCAUUGUGUGCAUGAGUAUAAUGGUGAAGAAGAUGCAGUCUCAUAGCUAAUGCUAGUUACCUUCCUAAGGUUUCCUUUUGGAAAACAAAACAAAACAAAAACAACCAAUCCCAUCCCCCCUCCUCCCAAACAAAUGUACUUGUAAUUUUGCACAUAUUACUAAUUUUGUGCAAAAGAGUCUUCUAUAAGAUCAGUCCUCAAGAAACCACACCAGAAAUUUCAGAGAAACAGAUAUUUUCUGAGAUUUUUUGAUAAACUUUGGGUCUAACUAAGUUGGGUACAUAAUGACAGCAAUCUGCCUGGGAAUACUUUUUAUUCUAAUAAUAGACAAAUCAAGACCUAUAAUUAAAGAAAACCUCAACACGUUAAAGUUGACAGUAUUCUUGUUUGUUUUUUUUUUUUUUUUUUUCAUUCUACCAGUUGGAUAUAGGUCUAUGUGCCUUCCUGGUUCUAAUCUGAGCUGUUGACCAUUCCCAGCCAAAGUCUGCAUUCAGUUGAUGGAUUUAUUAGCAGAAAUGGAAGAGGUCUGCACUUGAACUUGAAUGUCUCUAGUUUAACUUCUCUUGACAAUCACUCAACUUUGCUCUUAAACUAUUUGAAGUAAUUUGCCCACAAUUACUGAUUGAGAGUGAACCAGGUUUAGUCAAUAUAUCUCUCUCUUUGAGGAAAAAUAUUGCAGUUGGUUCUCUGUGAGAGAAGUGCUGGUAGUAUUUGCACUGGAAAAAAAAGAAAAGAAAAGAAAAUGCCCUGCAUAAAAUAACAUGAUUUAUCUGGGAGCGAUGUGAUAAGGAUGUUAUUUUUAAUGAUAGCUCAGCUGAUAUAAAAUGUGCAAUGACUCUAGGAGGUUAUCAUUUGAGAAUCGUGUCUUCUCAUGAAGACAGAAAAAGGGCAGUAUAAAAAAUUGAUCAUAGGGAUAUCUAUCUCACACAGAAGACAUUUGAAAGAAGACACCUUUCAUGCUUUCAAAGGGAGCUCUACCACUUGAAAAGACGUUUAUCAGAAACAGGAAACAAGAGGGCUGUGAAACUUGCAGCCUGAAACUGAAAACUGUAGAAACAUUUUCCUGGUUUUGUUGCAAACUUGAAAUUUUGGAUAUAUACAAUAUACAAAUCUUCAGAAAAGCCUGAAAAGGGACUAUGAGAGGUACCAGAAGUACUGCCUUUUCUUUUUCAGGGGAUGCUAGGAAGUAGCAAAGUGGUCAGAUUAUUGCCCAUUAAAAUAAGUAGAAGCAGAAAGCACUUAGAAACCUCAAAAAAACAGACCACCUACCUACAUGUUAUUUAUGUAUUUAAAAGCCUAUUUUUAGUUUGAUGCAAUAAAAAAGCUAAGAUAAAACAUGGCCUGUACCUCAGCUUGUUCCUUGAUUUCGUCCCAAAGCCAAAUACAAGUCAGCGUGUCUUACAUGUGGUUCUGCUCUAUGAGCAAGUAUUUUGGUCCAAGCUCAAAUUUUUAAUCUUUAAAACACAUAGAUUUUCCCCUCUGAGCACAUUAGCAAUUGUGUCAGUUUGGGCCAUAAAACUUAAAAGAUUUUGUAGCACUGCCUCUAGAUCUGCUGUUAGGUCUUCUGGAGAUGCUCCUAGACACAGGAUGUAGCUGUGUGAUAUUUUAAAAGCUGUUAUCAGUAGUGUUCUUGAGCUUGCUGUGAACAUGGUUUGUUUCUCAUGCUUGUGUAAUCUUUCUGUUUCCCUUGUAUUUUUGAUUUGGACUAGUAUAACAUUGGCUGAUUCUGGUGAUUUUUGUGUCAGAAUAAAGGAGCUGGAACUUGCGUGUAUUUCAUGGAUAUCUGAGACUUUACAUAGCAGAUAGAUCAACACAAUCUCAGCAAAAACUCUGGGGAUUCAUAUCUCUAUGCAGAUGACAAAUACCUUCUUGAGCCAAGCUUGCGUUCUGACAGCUAAUGGAAUGAGUGUUUUUGGUUUGCACACUGCUGCCAAAGUAUGUGAUGCACAAUACAACAGUGACUUGUACAUUCAUCAAAAUCUGAACUGAAGAGUUUCGUGGUGUUUUCUGUAUGACUGGAGAAAUAGCUUGAUCCAAAAGCCACUGGAAUAGUUGACAAAAUUCUGUUAACUUUGCUGAAAUUUAGGCUGAACCCAGAGCAGUUAGGGAUUUUUGGAGGGCAGGUGUUUUUACAUGGCCUUUUGAGAUGUAUCCUUUUAGACAGACAUCCUACGUAGAAUGUGUGCUGAAGGUUGAACAGUACAAACCAUUAAAACUCAUUAGGACCAUCACAUGGAGAUUCAUGAACUUCUACAUCAUUUACUCGACAGAAUUAGAUAUUUUAUAGUCUCUAGCCUCUUAAAGUCCCUUCUAGAGUUAGAUUAUGUUUCUGUAGUUCACAUGUGACUUCGCAACCCAGGGAUCCAUGUUCAGUCUACACCGCUUUUGGCCCACUGAUGGAUUUACUGUUAAAGGUCAUAAUUCACUUUCUGUCAUACAGAGGUGAAACAUUACCCUGAAUACAUGCAUUUUAUGAAAUAUGUAAAACAGGCCACUUGUUGCGCAGUUUCUAACACCUGUACUGGAUACUUAAAAAUACUAUGAAGCUGGUGAUACCCCAUUCAGCCCACGGCAGUCUGCAUCCUGCUGAGAAUACAAAUGGUUUGUAGUGGUGCCUGUGCCUCAUGCCCAUUACCAUGUCAGGAAGUGAAUGAAUAUGGACACUUAAUUGUUGACAACCAACAACGUGGUCUUGGCAUAAAUUGCAUUUUUGACAUAGAUUUCCUUUUGUAUAGCACUCUAAAGUCAAUGGAUAUUUACAGAAGGCCAAAUUCGCUUCAAGGACAGUGCUGAACUGAAUUUAGUACAAGUGCAGAGAAAAGAGAAGCAAAAAUACACCACUUUCCUUUUUUUUUUUUUUUUUUAUUUUUUUUUUUUUAUUAUCGUGAAGCCAGUAGACCAGUUAAGAUCUUCAUACAAGCUACAGCAUUUUCUUCAGAGCCUUUUAAAUCUCAGGCUGGUCAUAGGAAAAGUUGGUGUCAUCUCUCUUUGCAGUCUCAUCCCAUUAUUAGAGUUGGUUAUAGGGAAAAAAGUCCUCAUUGUCAAUGAGUGGUCAAGAGUGAUUGUUUCCCUACCCAGCAGUAACACCCCAGAAGCCAUGAGAGCCUGGACUACUGAGAACCAGAGUCAGGAAAAUGACUGAGAUUUCCUGACAACCAACCAGUCAGGUGGCCAUGGACCUGGGACAAGUAACAGAAAACCAGGUCUCCAAAGUUACAGGGCUGGCAGAGCUCACCUGUCAGUCAGCCUGCAACUUGUUAGAGCAUCUUUAAAACUAAUACAUCCUUGCAGAACUUUUCCAUUCCAACAAAUAGAUAAGGUCAAAGAGCAGAGUAUCUAUUAAUACAUAUGGCAUCGAUCUCUGUCUGAUCAGGCAUCUGUUUACAGUUCAACUGUGUCUCAGAGUAAGGUCAAUUUUUGAUCGCAGUCUAGUACUAGACUCAUAUACUUCCUGCAGCACAGCUUCAGACUGAUGGAAAAUUGUUUUUUUCUUAGAUUCUCAAAAAAAUAUUUUUUUUUCUCCAACUAUUUCUCCAGCCUCCAUUAGUGCAUCUGGUAUAAUAUUCAAGUUUAUGUGCUUCAUUCAACCUGCAAUGACUUCUUCCUCAUGUGCGUGACUUGCAAGAACAAUGUUUUGGUAUUUUAAACUGUAGGGAAGGUAGAAAAAAACAAAGAGAGAAGAAGACAGAAGUGUCUGGCUCACCUCAGGACCGUUUAAUAAAAAUCUGAGACAAUCCUGGUUCAUUUUUGAAAGUGAGUUAUACCCUUUGGAACUGGAGGACAACAAUGACAUUGAAUAAGAGCUAUCUCUCUAGGUUCCUACUGGAUGUAAAUAACAUUAGAGAAAAAAAUAUUUUACACAUUAAAAUGCUUGCUCUCCAGCUGUGAAGUGAACAGAGAUGUAUAGGUCUAGUUAAGCAGCACUUUUAUUUUACAAAUGAGGCGACUAUGUGUUCAUUUGCCCAGGAUGAAAAAUGAGGUGCUUUCUUCUCCCUUUUUGACCUUUUGAGAAAAGCUGCAGGUGGACAUUGUAGGAAAUGGUUGUUGCCCGUGAGUAUAGCAGAGGAGAAGUCACAAGUAAGGAGGAAAACUGUUUCAGCCAAAGGUCAGAAUUGGAAUAGCACAAAAUUACUACAAAUUUUCCAUGGUUAAAUUUAGACUGGAUUGCUUAAAUCGAUAAAACCACCUUACAGUUAGUUUAAUGAGGGCAAAGCAACUUGUCAGCUCUUGAAGCAGAGCUUGAUAAGAUUUCAAGAUAAAUUACGUGAUGUGGUAACUGCCACGGGAGCUCUGCAGCACUACCUGCAACUGGCAGCAGCCAAAAUUCCCCUGGGAAGGUCCUUCUGCCUGGCAAAGGACAACUUGCAGCAUGAUUUGACUACUGGGCACAGAUGGCCAAACUCCUUUUUCUGGCCCCAAGCUGUUGCUGCCACUGUCAUCGUGAAAGGUUGUGUGGAGUCCUGGCUUGUCUGGAAAUGUCAUUCAUUGUCUUUUUCUGCCCAUAGUGUGGGUCCAUUCAGUUGGAAACACACCUGAGGCCAGCUGAGAUGUCCAAGGCUCUCCAAUCCUACUAGCAUCACUGCAGGAAGCAAGUCUUCUGUAGAUCUUGUGUCUUGUCUGCAAAACUUGCUUCUAAGAUACACAAGGGCAUUUUGCACAGCAAGCACACCUCUGUUUAAGAAACUAAUUAUGACUCAAACAGAGUUUUGUCAGAGUAAAUCUAGGUAUCUACAAUGCAGACAUCUGUAUGAACUGGUCAAUAUCUCAGUUGACUACACCAUGACUAAAUCAAUUGAGAUUUAGUCAGUAUAAGUCACUAGAUCUAUGGUGCAAUUCAUCUUAUCCUGAAGCAGACAUCUAAAAUUGGUCACCAGACUCCCAGCCUACAAAUGCUCAUUUCUCUCCAUUGACUGUAAAGGGAGCCCAAUGUGAGAUGACCUGAUGUAUCCCUCCAUUUUUCAGUUGUCAAAAGUUAAGUGAGCUCUACUUCUUUUUUUGUAGCACUGGUCAUUAUGCGAACUCUAAUGAAGCUCCCCAAAUCCACAAGUUUCUGGUUGGAAGAAGGAGAGGUACAGUAUUAAUGAUUUACAAACCCAGGUUUUGUUCGAGUGAUAGGGUCAGCUCUGCCAUCCACAGAGACAGUCGUCAACUCAUUAUCUCAUAAUGCCUAGUUUAGUUCAAGCCAACUGCCCAAGUCUGACCACAAAAACAGCUACUAAAGCUGCCCACUUAAACAACUAUGGGCUGAGUGGCAUUUUCCAGCUUAGAAAACAGAGUGAAGAAAUUGAUUUGGUAAACUGUACAUGUGUGUUAUCGCAUCUCUUAUUAACAUCUGUGGUAUUUGCAGUAUUUAAAGACUACGCCUUUUUUCUCCUUAGACCAUUGUUGCUUGGUUGUAAUCCAGAGCACAACAGCUCUGUAGGUAGUGCAGUUGCAUGUUUUCCCCCAUAUGUCUGCAGGCAGAAUUAACUGAUAAAAGCAAUUAUAAGACCACAAGAUUCAUAAUCGACUUUCUUUGGAGUAACUACGUAAGAUAAAUGGAUAAGAUGUCACUAAACUGCUCUCUGAUUAUCCUUUAAAAUCAUAAACCCUCUUGCAGGUAACACUUGGGAUGUUAUAUAGGUGCAUAAAUACAAAAUUCAUUGAUGGCAUAUUGAUUUUAUACAGUGACUCAAAGCAUUUAUCUUAGGUCUACUUAUUACUUAACUCCAAGGAUGGAAGCAGAAUCAGGUUCUCACCAUUUUUCAGGUUUCUCUGAAGAGUGAUACAAAUUGUUUCAUAACAGUAUUUUGCAUAAUCACCUGUUUAAAUGAUUACCAGCAUCAUCCUUCUGAUGAUGCUCUAUAAUAAACCUAAUGAUUUCUGAAAACAUUACAUAACCUUCUCUAACUGGCCCAGAUAAGUCAAGGUUUUCUGCUCUAGCAGUCAGCAAGGUGAAGAAAUUGUGCUUAGCAUGUGUAUUGCUUUUUCCUGCAGUGUCAAAGCCAAAUGUUUUGCCAAACGGCUUGCUCAUGUGUAAUGUUUUCUGAACAGCUGAUACUGCCCUGCAUCACAGAGCAUUUCUGUUGCUUCUUGGAUCGAGAAGAGAGAAAUAGUUUUGUCUUUGGGAUUAGUCUAGUGAUUAAUCUUUUGUUUUUUUUUUUUUUUUUAAUUUUUAUUUUCUUGUUUUCAGAUAGAGUAACUAUGGCUAUUUGAUGCUGUUGUUUGAGUUUGUGACAUUUAUGUAGUAUUUUCCUGUCAGGGAUGUGGGAAAUUGACACCUCAGUAGGGUUAAAAGUGUGCUUGUAUAAACAACAGCAUAAAACACAAAGCAUGUUCUGAAGUUUUGUCGUCAUUCCUUGCAAAAUGAAAGAAAAUUUGAAGAAUAUGUUUCAGUGGAAAACUUACUUUGCCUUAAUUAUGGUAACAUUUAACCCUAAUGGAAGCCUGUAAGUUUUCUACAAUGACAUAUUGAAUGCUUAUGGCAGACAGGGAUGGUGGCAUGCAAAAAUGUUCAUAGAUGUCCAGAUGUCUUUUGCUGAUUCACAAGUCCCCAGUGAAAACAAUCUGGGAUUGUACUUCUGCUCUGGAGCAUACUUCCUUCAGCUAUGCCUGCAAAGCUAUAUGUGAUGGAUCAAAAAACAGAUCUGGGUAAAAAAUAUCCUCCUUUAUUUUAUUUAUUUUUUUUUAAAUUUUGUUUUUAGCCUGACUCAGAAGACCCCAUGAGUAUUUGUGACACUACCAUUGAGAAAGUAGAGUUUUAUAGCAGGGUAACAGAAACCAGCACUGUGAUAUCAUCACUUGUGGCUUCAACAGCAUCAAACCAUGGCUCCAGUCUUGACACCUCAUGAUGGCAGUUGCACAUCCCUUUCUGGCUCAGCUUGCUUGGUGGUUCACUUUAUUGGUACUUUCCCUUUAAACUGAACAAAGAUAAGAUGUUUUAAGUAUGCUUCUCGGUUUUGUGGAAGCGAGGUCAUUAUUUAGCUAUUUAAUAUUUUCUGUGUCAACAUCAUUAUUUUUUCUGCUAAAUGUCCUUAUCUCCUGUUGUAUUUUGAAAUUCCUGAGAAGAUCACAGGUCCUCAGUAGCAUGAAACUUUAAAUAUAUUGAUGUUAAAACCCACAGAUACUGAUGAGUCAGGAUCAAUCUCAAGGGCUUCCAGAUGUCAAGGACAACAUGGGAGUUGUGCAAGGAACUGGUCAGAAAAUUUCCACGAAGGCUGCCUGUCAACAAACACCGAUUUUCUCUUAUUCCAGGCAUUUCAUUUAAAAUUCUUAUUCUUGGACAUUAACACUUUAAAAAGUUACACAUUACUUGGGUUUCUGGGAGAAUUUGUUACACCACCGAGUGCAGUUAUUCCCAACAUGUUGUGAGACAAAGUGCUUAAUGCUAAAAGCAGCAGGGAUGCUGGGUGUUUGGGCAUCCCUCUUAAAAGCACAUCAGUCUGUACACACUGGAGUUAAUGCAGUCUGUUUUCCUCUAGGUCAUAUCUUGUGGUUGGCUGUCUAGUGUCUAAUGAAGUGUGUGUUCGUGUUGCAUUCUUUAGUACUUUACAAGCUUUCGUUGGCAGCCAGUUUUCAUGAAACAACUCUGAGACUUCUGCUCUUAUGUUAAAUUUGGUUUUAUUAUAGCAAGACUGUCACACAGUUUCCCUUGCACACACGUACACAUAUCUACAUAAAAUAGCUUCUUGAGUUCUAUAUGCUUAGAAAAAGAGUUUAAGAAGCCAUGGCUGCAAAUAGUUAAACUAAUUCUGAAUUUGCUUGCUGACUUUACUUGUUUACAAGUCACUGUUGCAACAGUCAGUUUCUGUAUUUACUGGUUGUUAACAUGAUCCACAUCUCAACCUUCCAGUGAUGUUCUUGCAGAAGCAAGUUCCCUUGGGAUUGUUUCCAUCAGGAAGGUGUGAAGGCUAUGAAUGCUAUUGAAAAUAAUUUAGUGGUUUGGAGGGUUUUCUUUUGUCAAAUGAAUGCUAAGGGGUAACACUUUGUAACUUAGCCUCGUGAUUGCAGUGAAAUUACAGCUUGUGGGAAAAACAGAUGAUGGUUGUGUCUGCAAUGCAGAGUCAGGGCAUUUGAGUGAGGUUUUAAUGAGGCAGAAUAUUGUUAUGCAGCCCUAGAUCCAAUAGCUUGUCAUCUAGUUGCGAGCAGAAUAAUUACCAGUGAUAAGGAUCCAUUAAAAAGGUAACUUGCUUUUAAAAGGCACUGCUGUCUGAAGCUCAGCUUUGGGUAUCAAACUUCUGAGUGGAUUGCAGGGGAAGGCAACGAGAUGACAGUCAGUGUACAGCUGGGAGGAUUGGGAUGGAGUAGAAUGCUUUGUAAUGUCACCCUCCUUUUUCUAAAAAAGCACACUGGAAAGAAGUAAGAGGAAUACCCAAUAGUAAGAUCUGCAAUGGGACUUACCACUUACAACCUUUUUAAUUAUAGAAAAUAAGAAGAGCUCAAUAAUAUCUGACUCUACAUAUGUGCACAGGCUAAAUAGCAGGGACAAAGGCAGAAAAUUGGAUCUGAAACGAAAAGCAUUUAGAGCAACAAUGACUCUGGGAGCUUCAGAAGUAAGAAGGCUUUUGGGAAGAUAGGAAGAAAAAGGAAAAGCUUUGUCUCUUUUAGGGACGAUGUCUUCACAACUGGGUUUUUUUUUGCCCUUUGGGUUUGUGAAGGAGCGAUUUGGCUGACUGUCAAGAUAAAUAGAACUGCAGAAGUUUGCUGGCCUCUGUGUGCUUAGGAGAAGGAUCAACAUCACUUUCUGACCUCUCACUGAGCUACUUGGUGAGAUACUCAUAGCUAAAUGCCUUGAGAUGAAGUCAGGACCAAAUGUAUGCAUGUAUGUAUAUAUGUAUGUAUGUAUCUAUCUUUUUUUUUUUUUUUUUUGUGAGGUUGGGAACGCAUCUUCCGUCUUCCAUUGCUGGAUGGGACUGAAUGGAAGAAGGGGACUGUCAUUCAGGGAGGGGGCCCAUUCUCUUCCCUAUGGCAGCCUUGGCAAGCAGCAAGUGGGUGAUGUUGGAGUAAGGUCAUGUCCUCACAGCGUGGCUGGUUACUGCAGUUAGACCAUUCAGUUUGUUAAGUAUUUACAUGUUCUCCUAAAAGCAGCUGAAGGGAGUGUGAUUUCACUGCUGGUUUGAAGGCUCGAAAAUGUGUAACCAGCUCUCCCCACAACUAUUUUUUGUACUGAACUUUAAUGUCCAGUUCAGUGCUCUAGGACAACUACCCUCCCACCUUCAUGGAGUCCAGGCCUCUGGGCACUGAAUGAGACAUUACCCUGAGGGUCUCCCAGUCCAGGUUUUGGGCAUGGUUUCCCCAGCCUUGACCAACCUUGAUCCUGCUGAGUUCUGCGAGCACUAUAAAUGAUCUGCUGAGGGCUUUUUCUUCCUGUUCUGAUAAUUCUUUCCCUUUGGAAAUCUCAUCCAACAACACUUUAUUCCUCUGACUGGCAGUAUGUCAGGCGGAAUUAAGGAGAUGAAGGACAGAAAUCUCUGGGGUUUUUAGACACAUUACUUUAAAAAUGAUCAAAUUUCUCAAGCCCACAUUCACAACAGAAGUGGGGAAAGACUAAACAAUGUAAUAGCAUUACUAUAUACUACGUAUUUUAUGUAUUGAUAUAAUUUUGUUUUAUUAGCAGGUUAAAUCUGUUGCUCCUUAGCGAUUCUCUAGGACACAAUCCUCUUUUGAUCUCACCAGAGUAAUUUCCUUCUUUCUCCAUCUGGGAAGACUUUUGAUGCCACUCAUUUAGGGAGGAAGGGGAUGGUGCACCCCCGCACUCUCUGCUAUGGGGGCUUUUCUGCACUUUUCCUACUGGGGCCAUGGGGUCUCUUCUGCUGUCUGUUUACUGCUUUUACACCCCCUUUUGUACUCUUCCAGGGCAUGUACUGUGAACUGUAGACCACAGUAACAAGGAUGCCAGUAUUUCAUUUCAGUUUUCUUGAGUGCCAGACCAUCCUAUCUGAGAGUGCUUAAUGCAUUUCAGGUCUGUUACUCCAACAACUAUUUUGCAGUGGAGGUUGAGCAGUAAAGCUUAAACCCCACUGCCUCUCUCUCUUUACUCUGUGGCACUGCAAAGCACAUUUUAAAGUACAUUUUUUGUACUCUGCCUUAAGAAUACAGCACUGACCAGGGGCGAAUGGUCCCUGUAGCGCUAUUAAUGUUAAAUGAGGCUUUUCAUAAAUCAUGACUGAAUUUCCUAUGUUGCAUUAUGCCAGAAAUUGUUAUCUUAGUGCUCAGUGAAAUUAAAGUAGCAAACAAGGAUUGAUAUCUAAGUCACAUAUCUACCUAAAAAUAUAUUACAACUCCAUUAAAGAGUACUUCAUUAAAAAGUUGAGGAUAAUUUAACACAUUAAUUUAUAUUGCUACCAUUAAAUAGAAACAGAGUAUAUUUUUAAUGCUGAAAAAUGUUUAUCUGGCAGCUUAAUUAAAUAUUUACAACAAACAGAAAAAGCUGAGAUCUAAUUUUCAAAUGCUACUUGGUCAUGUUUGGAGAAGGGUAAAUAUACCUGCAUCUGUCUGCCUUUCUAAACAAAGAGGUUGCCAGCUACAGGGGAUCACUAGAAGAUUUAUGUGCCUUUUUUUUGUCUUUCAUCUACCUAAAACAAAUAAAAUUUGUGCUGCAGCUAUAAUGAUGCAAGUAAUAAGGGAAAUGGUAAUCAAGCAGCAUUUAGCAAUCUGAAAUUGUCUAGAAGUGAAAUGCUUCAAAUGAAUGUUUAAACUGCAUAAUAAUUUUAUUGGGAGAUUGGAAAAUGAGGACUCAUCAGAUGUUGCAGAUAGAUGGGUGGAGAGCUGAGGGUCAUCAUUUUCCCUGAGUUCACUCUUUGCUGAUGAAAAUGGUGCUUGCACUGAUUACUGCGACAUGCAUGCCUCAUUCUGCAAAACUCAAUCCCUAUUUAAAUAUUUACACUGGAGGUCUUACUAUCUUCUUGCUGCUUUGGCACUGAUCAUCUGCACAACCCUUUCCUAUCAUUUUGAAGACUGGGUUUACAAGAAUUGGUGCAGCUGUUCUAUGCUGUUCCCACCCUGUAUGUAGACCUUGGUGCCUCUGAGAAGGCAGCACACAGAUGAAUGGUGGGAGUAUUUACAGUUUUUUAUUUGCUUUAAAACGUCUCACAGGUGCAAGGCUGGAGGAUACUUGUGUGGUUGAAUGAGCCAGAACUAUUUGAUUGAACCACUGAAAGCAGUGCCUUAAUUCUCUUUUGCUCUUUGCAGUCAUUUGCACACCCAUCAGUCAGUGUGGGAGUACCUCACACAUGUCCAGAGUGGUGAAAAUCACAGCACAAGGUACUGGAGAAUCCCAGACUGUGGCUCUUUAGUGUCUUCAGGCUGCAAAUAGGGCAGGACUGUGUCACUCUUGGCUAAACCUCCUUGGGUCCCUCUGGUUUGUGUCAGUCUGGUGCAAGACAAGGCUUAGCACUGAAGUGUGAGGUGAAUAGACAAUUUGUGUAAAACAUGGGUCUGUCUCUGUCCCCCCCGCUGUAACUUCCACUGUGGGAAUUCAUGUUGCUAAAGGAGAUGAAUGCAGUCACAGAAGGAAAAGAGUUGUUCACUAGUGACAGUCAGCAGAAGUGGAUCAAAUACUUUGGGGCUGGUGCUGUUAUCCACUGGUUCAAGGUUGAAGCUUUACUCCUCACCUUUCUUUGUGUUGCUGUUUUCUGAGAGCACUGAAGAGUUUUCCCUGAUGGCAAAUUCCUCAGGAAAACACAGCUUAUUUUGGCUGCCCUUUCGUCAUGGUAGCUAAAAACAUGGCUAAGGGAAAGACGGUAAUUGCCGAUAUCCAAUUCUCACCACAUCCAUGUAUAUCCACUAGACGCAACUCGCAGCAGCAGUAGGGUUGCUCUUAUUUAUGGGAAAUCCUUAGUGGGCACCUGUUGUCAUUUGAGGCAUCUUUGCUCAUUUAAGCCAUCCGCAUGACAGUGGCAGACAUUUUGUAAGGCAUAAGGAGGACCUCAUUGUUCCAGUCUACAGCCUCCACAUAUGAACAGGCUCUAAUAAAGCACAUGAUAACAUUUUUUCUGGUGUGCUGACCCCCAAAAGGGAGGUUCAUCCGUAUGUUGGGGUCUGCGUACUGUGACAAUGCACUUGCUUCCACGGCUGCAUCCUUGGCCGUGCGGUGGUGAUGUGUUUCCCUGUUUCAAAGCAGCAGAUUACUGUUUGGAAAAGUUCAGUGGCCUUACAAAGAAAUGUUUCAAAUGGGUAAAAUCUCUCUGGCCCUCUGUUCUUUUUGUACUCACCAGCUUUCCCUAUGGGUGAGCUUUUCCUCCUCUCAUUCAGAGGCUUAACAAAAGUCAUUAAAAUUGCCACAAAGCUGUCUGUGAGCAAUUCCUGUGUGUGAAAGAAAACAGACAGGAGGAUGUUGAAGUAAUGUUUGGUUUUGAAAAACUCUUUUCAUUCUGCUGAUCUCCUUGCCCACUUCAAUCAUGUGAAAGAGAAACAAGCUUUUAACUAAUAAAACAUUUCUGUAAAAUUACUUUUUUUUCCCCCCUUGUUUUAUGUUACAUGAAUGUAUCAAUUUUCCCUGCAUAAACAAACAAGAGUAAUAAUUCCUGGAUGUCUGAGAAUACAGCUAUCUCUUAUCAUCAAGCCCAUAUAAGUGAUUAAAAGGAAUAAUAAGAAUCAUAUUUUGUGUUGAAUACAAUGCCUUUUAUUUGGGCACUAACACACUGUGCUCCUUACUUACCAACAUCCUAAGCAACUAAAUUCUCAUGAGGUAAAUUAGCCUUUGAGGGCUAAUGAGAAACACAGCAGAAACACAUUUGAAGGGGCACAUAUUUCAGAAGCUGGCUGAAGGAUGGAUAUUAAGAGGUGGUCUUGAACGCAAGCUGCUCAGAGCAGAAAAUGGUUUGUUGUCACCAGAAGUGAGUGUGAAUACAUUUUCCUGUCUUGUGAAAAAUGCCGAAAAUUCAAGCAAUUCUUUGUGCCAAAGCCAUGCGCAUUGGAGACCUAUCAAAAUGGUUUUGUUUACUUGUUUAUUUUUCCUGAGAGAUGAGGAAAGGAGGUUGAGGAACAGAGGAGAGUUAGGAGAGUGAAGAGUGUGGUAGUUGAGUCCCUUUCCUACAUGUCCUGCAGAUAUUCUGCUUGUUAGUAAGGAAGGGGCUUUUUCAACCUCCCCUCCAUGUUGAAUACUGCUCUGAGUAAACAACCAUGCAUGAACAUGUAUUGGAAUAGGGUGGUUCGUGUCUCCUUUCUCUACUCAGCUACUGACUGGGGAUUUUGAUUUCUCAUCUUUUCUAAAAAAAAAGUGUAAAAAAAAAAAACAAACAACAAAAAGAGAGAGAGCAAAGGCUCUUGUUGAUUCCUCGUUUUCACAAGGAGUAUCUUCCUGAAUGUUUUCCAAUCAUUUAGCUCUACUUUUUUUUCCAUGUUCAACUCAGCACCUAACUUUCCUGCUCUGUUCCAGAAGUGAUGGUGUUGCUGUGAUACAGAAGAUAAAAGUACUUCUGUGCUUCUUGUGACACAGUGAGGAGAGACUGAGGCACAAGCAGCAGCACUUUGUAGGACUGGGAUGAGUCUUGAGCACUCACUUGGUGUCUCAGGAGAGCAACGGUACUGGGAAGCAGAGGACCGACCCUUCAGGUCUUCUGGAGCUGGUCCCAGUGAGCUUAGCCUGUAUCGGCACCAUUCCUACUUAUGUGAAAUACCUACCUAUACAAACAAGAGUAAAAAAGCAAAACCAUAACCAUCCUGGCAACAUCAGAAAGAAAGGGAGAUAAAGUAGACUCCCCUCUUCUUUUCUGCCCCCACCCCAUUCCUUGACUCCAAAGGUCAGAAUCUCUAUCCAGAGGGCAAACCUUCUUGGCAGUGAAGCAGCCUUUUGAGUUAGAUCAGCUAUGAGAGAAGGUAAAAGUAAGUUGAUGCAUGUCUGAGCACUAAAAUGCACUGAAGAGGAAUGUACUGACCAUUUGGGAAGUGUACCAUUAAAUGGUCAAACUUCUACUGUUGCGAGAGCAUUCAGCAGCGGCCCACCUAGAUUGCCACCAUCAUCCCAGCCAGGCAGGCACAGAAACAUGGGAGUGUUUUUCUAUGUCGACUUGUCUUCCUUCUUCCACCCCACCCUCCAAAUUCAACAUCUUAAUGCUUCUGGAAACAUGAACUGAACAAAUCACCAAUGGAUGCUGCUAACCUUGUAGAAACUAGCGAUGUUCUGGUAGCAUCUACAGCCCACUGUGGUACAUUCUGAGCUCAAAACAUCUUUGUCCAUUGUCAUAUUCCUACUGAAGUUGGUCUAAGUCAUUAAGUUCAUGGCCUUCUCUCUCUUUUCUCUUUAAAAACUUUCUCUCUUUUGGCCCAUGAAUAUGGGAAUGAUUUUAUGCUGGGUUCAUCUUCAGUCUUCAUCAGUAAAUAUUUUGCAAGUCAGAAAUUCACCAAAGAACACUUAUUUUGUCAGCACAAACAUUAACUCAAGUCAGACCUGCUUGGACAGAUGGAUGAGAGGAGCGUUACGUGACUGACUUCAGAAGGGUUGCUCCAGAAAUUGUCACAGCUGCUUGAAUUUAAAAUGUCAGAGACGUGCUCCAGUUACAGCUCCUGCUGGGCACCAAAGCCUGUUGAAAAACUCUAAAAGACAGCUGGAAAGGGAAUAUUGUAGCGAAUGUCAGUGUGUUUUAAUUGACUGGUCUGAGCAAGGAAAUCCACAAAAUACUGAGAGGCCAAAUCUUUGCCCUCAGAUAGUUGGUUUCAGGAGAACUUGGCAGGUGCCUUCAAAGUGUACAUCAUGCAUCCCUGUUGUCUAAGAAGAUAAGAGUCUAAUGCAGCUGGUGAAGUUCAGCUUUGAGUUUGAGAGGUGUAGAUCUGUGCUCAGCUCCACAGGUCAGGGGUUCAAACCUUGCUAACGAGUCUUGAAGAAGCAAAUCUCACACAUCUGUGGCAGAAAUCAGCCCCAGAAGUUUAACACCAGAGAGUUCUCAGUAAUCUAUUGAAAAGCAAUAAUAUGAAGAGGGAAGUUUUCUGCCUGAGAAAACUCAGUCUCCACACCUUGCUAUAUCUGAAAAUGUGCUUUAGCAGUGGUGAAAAUGUCACGUUAUAACCAGUGCCAAGCAAAUUGCACUGGAUAGACCUGCGCAAAUCAGAUAGGCACCAUUUGACGUAAUUCAACAAUAAGUAGAGUUUCUCAGCAUUCAGUGUAUUUGAGGACUUUGGCUGAGCUAUAUACUUGAGACAACCCAUAAGGAAGGACUAUUCCUACCUUCCUUCUUCAUCUAUCUCUUCACACUUUUUCAUGACUUUCACCUAAGGAAGGUAGAGGGUGUGGUGAGGUGGUUUACUGUGCAGGGAGAAGGCAGGAGAGCUAAUACAUGUCUCAGAUAUGAAAAUGUACUGUUAGGGAGCUAAGGCCACAGGCACGGGCAGGAUGGAACAGGUCAAAACAUCUUGAUUCACAUUUCAGUCAAAGAAUUAUGGAAGCUUCUGGAAAAAAAUCCCUCAGAUAUGACAUUCUUAGCUGAUACCACAGUACUUUUUGUAUGUAAAUAAAAACAAGGCCAGCGUGUGGUGAUUACUUGUAUCUCUCAUUUCUGUCAUGCUGAGUUGUUGCUCACUUCCAUGUAUGGGGGAAAAAAUGUGCACUUGAGCUUUAUUUCUAAUGAUAGUUUUGUGAUGAACUUUCUGAUAUCUUAGAAGGCACCAAUGACUGCUAGAGAGUGGGUUGAGAAACAGCAGCGUAGAUGCGCCUUCCCAGUACCUGGGUCAAGUGCAGCAUGUUGUGAUGCUCAUUGGGAGAGACAGACAAUAUGGGAAAGGGCAGCAGCAGCAGCCAAGGAAAGCUGGUAGCAGGAAAAGGGGCUUAAGUGACUUAGAAAACAAGACAUGCAUACCUAUUACAUGUGAAAGUGAGAAAAAAACACUCUACUAAAAAAUCUGUGGCACGAUGCAGAAAGAAAUGAGUGCUGUACCUUGUGGCACAGCCUUUUAAAGAGUGAAAAAGAUGCUCUUGUUCCCCUGAGGUUUGCUUCAAAUGAAGUUUCAGCUUCAGCUGGUGAAGAAGCCAGCCACCUUGCUCCUUUGCAGCCCUGCUCCCGUGUGUAUACACGCUCAGUGCACAGAGAGGAAAGCUCAUGCUCCCAAGCAAUGCAGCUGCUUGUGACACUUGGGGCAGGAAGAUAGCAGCUCCUCUUUCAAAUGAGGGUGGAAGGUUAAAACAGAACCAUAACCUGAGGGGCUGCUAUAUUUUUUGUAUUGUGGGAAGCACCAGGCACCAAAAAGAAAUGAAAGAAAAAUCCACUUCUGUCCCCAGAGAUCCUGCAGUCUAAACAGACAAGUGAACAAAAGGUGGGAGAGCAAAGGGAUGCCUGGAGAAGUGAAGCAGUGGCCCAAGGUCACAGAGACAGGGCAAGGUUAGCAGAGGAACCAAAUCUUUCCUAGUUGCAACCAAUCCUUUGUCUAUUUGUUGGAUGAUCUUGACUUAAGAUGCCAUUUUCAGUGCCAAGCUAGCAACUAUAAUCACAGUCUAGUCAUCUUUAUUGAGUUCUUGUAGUUUACUCAGACAGCCUUAUAGGCACAGCACUUUAUGGACCUCUAAAACGGCAGGUAUCUGCUGUGAGGAGCUCGGUUUAGACUGUGCUUAACACUGUAAGGUAACGGCAGACAAUAAACUAAAGAAGACAGGUGGGAGGGCUGUAACACUGAAUGUGCUGAUAUAUCAAAGAAAAGGUAAUGAAAUCCUACGUGGCUAGAUCAUCCUUCAUCCAUAAAACAGGACAGUUCACAGCAAGGAAGGAUUACAUUGAAAUGCAGCUCUGCCUUACUAACAUUUUUUGGGCCAUCUUCGCUCCUCUUUUGCCUGUGCUGUGAUGACCACUAGGCUUUUCUCACAAGAUUUUCCCUUUGAUUUUAAGCUUAGUGGGUGAACAAUUAAAUAAAGCUUUUAUAGCCUCUAAGGAUAAGCCAAAUAUAGGUCAAAAGCUGUUUACCUAGUAUCAGUUUUUACAAAAGAGGAUGAGGUUGGACCUGGAAGUAAAGGUGUAUUAGUCAGUGAGAACGUAUGUACAGAAAAAUACAUUGCUAAAGGAAGAGUGAACACAAAGAAAUUACAUUAGUCUGGUCUGCUUGGGGAGACUGGAGAAUCACUGCCCUGCAAUACCAAAAGCCAGGAGGGUGAAAUCACAUUCACAGUAGCAAUUCUAUAAAUGUACACUACAAUUGUUGGGCAAUACAGUGCUUCAUGAGGAAGAUACAGGAAAAAAGGUAGAGACAACUAAGCAGUAAUAAUCCGAUUGCAAUUGUACCAAAUAUUUUGGAAUCUGUGAAAGCAAGGAGCAAUCAAACAUGUGGAGCUGAACAGAAAGCACACUAAAAACCAACACAGGUUUAUCAAAGAGAUGUGCUGCCUGCUAACUUCCUGUGAUAAAGAGAUUAUACCCAUGGGAUUGCCUUUGUAUAAAACAUCAAAAAACACGUGAGACAGUGCCCCGUGGGAAACUGUCAGUAAAACCAGAAAACAGUGCAAGAACUGUAAGGUGAAUAAGAAGGCUUUAGUAGUUGCACAAAAAGGAUCUAUCAGUCUCAGGGAAGUAACUGACAAUCUUUCUCAAGAAUCUUUGCAAGAUCUUUCAAUAGACAAUAAAGGAAAAAUUGUAAAGAAAGAGAAAAGCCUUCAUUCACAAGAUGGCUGUGAGCCAUGAAUGUGGCAUGGCUACGAACAAGCAAAUAUCACGGUAGGCUGCACUGGGAGAAGCACAUCCAGUAGAGGUGGGUAAGUGGUCACACCACUGUGUAAGGCACAGGUCAGGCAACAGGAAUUGCAGCAUUUUUCUGUAUAAAAUGUAAAUGUAGAUUUCCAGCUCUCUACAUUCAAAUGAGAUUAAUCACAAGCCGACAGGAGAAUGGACAGGAGCAAAAGAGUGUCUUUUACAAAAAGAGUACAAUUCUUACUGUCUAGCAAAAGAACGAUGAGCAAGUGUAUGACUACAGUCAGAAAAUAAAUGAUGAUGAGCAAGUGCACAGGAUGGGUACUCAGUGCCAGAGAAGAUUAAUUCAGGUGAAAGAACAGGCACACACAGACUAACUAGGGACACUCUUGAACUAGACAUUUCUAACCAUCAGAGGAGCAAGGUUCUGGAACAGUUUUUGGAUGGGGUCAGGCUACAAGACCAAACUAUUUUGAAGGUGGCACAUAAUUUGGCUGCCUGCAACAGCAGGGGCUAGAUGCAAUGAUCUGGGGCUUCCCUUCUUGCCCCAAGCUCCUGCAGGUUAAGGAGAAAUGGGCGAUAUCAUGGGUGCACAUAGGGAACUAACCUCCACAGGAAUUGUUAUUCGCUGGCUGUUGUUGAGGGUGGGUUUGUUGUUGUUGUUUUUUGUUUUGUUUUGUUUUGUUUUGUUUUCUGUGUUAACAUUUUUUGAACACUAGCUGACUGGGUCUUGAUUGUGAUAUCUUUUGGAGUAAUCUUCACACCUUCAAGAUCAUGUCAUCCAGCAGGGAGUACAACCCUGAGCAUGCCACCCUGCAAGAAUAUGUCCAAAAGAGCUGAGUGUUCCUAGGAGAAGGCAAUGUAUCAUUGAGACAUAAACGCAGGUAUGAAGUUCUAAGAGAUGCUCUGUUUUAUUUAUCUGCUGUGGGGAAGAGGUAGUAUGCAAAGUACAGAAAAUAAACUGUGGGUUGAGCACUGCUUUUAUGAUAACUAAGAAACUUCACAGUACAUCAAUUCUAAAACAGCCUCCAGUCUUUAAUCCAAUAGCUGAGGCUUACAAACAACUUGCUAUUAAUACCAUAACUCACUGAAUCUUCAUGAUUCUCUGGGUCAGAAAUGCGGCUCUGGUGAUCAGAAUUCAAUAGAUCUCCACCUCUUCACACCAGCAUUUGGUCUGGCCACACAGUCGUCCUGGUAGAUUUUGGUUUAAGCUGUGUAUUAAUUUAUUUACGAUAUUUGUCUUUGCACUUCAACAGAGUAAAGUUAUCAGUUAUUUGAAUAAUGUAAUAUGAAAGGGAAACACUAUUUCAUUUAGAGAUCUACAGGAAUAAUUCAGUGUUCCAAAUAGCCUCUUGACAGAUAUCUGCAAAUUAAAGGUUGCUUUCUUUCUCAAUUUAAUAAUAGGGCUCUUCUAGACACAUCCAUCAUAGUAAAAUUAAUAAUAAUAAUUUAAAAAACAACAAAAACCCACCACCACAACAACAAAAACAAACAAACACACACACAAACUAAUUUAGCAACUCCUCACAUAGAUCUGGGGUAUUUAUAUGGAAGUAAUCACAGAUUACUGAAUUAUUUCAACCUUUAGUAAAUCUCUAAAUAUCACUUACAGAAGUAGACACUGAGGUUUCUCCUUCUGUGAGCUGGCGUCAGUGGGCUGCCCUUCAAAUCUGCCCUGACCACCUUCUAGCAGCUGGGCUUCAGAUUUCUUGCUCCACAAGGAGCUGCUAAAAAUGGUCAAAACCAGGUUCGUGAUUUUGAUUUGUAUUAGUUGUAUGCACUGCUCUGCCUUCAGGAAAAUGAGGAUGGAAACAGUGCUGCUCCCCAUCUGUGGCAUUUGCUUUUCUCCUUGCAAUCUAAACUCCUCUGGGUCAUUAUCAAACAACAUUCUUACAGUCUUUUGGUUCUCUGCUCAAAGCUGUUUCAGACCAGACCUCAGGAAACACCAAAUGUUUUAUAUUCCUGUUGAAAAGGGCAUGUACAGUGAGUCUUAACGCCUACUCGGGUCAGGUACUUCUUUGAUUCUACUACAAAAGAGGGAAGUCAAGAGCUGCAGUUCCCGCAGAGUUAUUCUGUGUUUAUCUCCAAAGGGGUAUGACAUUGGAAGCUUAGUAACAAGCACCCAUCCUCCUAAGCAGACAAAGUUAAAUGCAAAUUUCAUGGCAAUGCAAAUGCAGAAUUUCCAUUUCAUGCUUGGAAGAAGGGGAUGGCUUUGUAUGACCUGAUCCAAUUUCAGAGUUUUCCAGAACUAAUAGAUCUGAUCUGAUCCAAACUAGCUGCUGCUGCCCUUGAGUGCCUGCAGUUUUUGCUGUCUUCUUGCUGUUUCUGUAUUUAUUUCCUGGAAUAUGAUCCUCUGACCUUCCCUGUCCCCCAGUACUGACUCUUUAGUAUUUUGUGAAGUUCCUCUUUUCCUCCCAUGGGGGUUCAGUUAGAGCCCACAUUUCUAGUCUAGACUCCUAGCUUUGGCCAUUCCAACCCACUCCAGCCUGUUCAUAUUCUCAUGUCUCCCUGUCUACAACAUUAACAUCUCCACUGCCCUUCUCAUGUUCAGGCAUUGAAAUAGCAUCCCAUAGGUAUGCCAUAGUCCUGCUGGCUGCUACUGAUUGCUUGGUUAGCAGGUUGUACAAAAGCUAACAGCCAUUUAACUUAAAUGCCGCUUCACUGUGCUCAGUGCAAAUCCCUGUGUGUGUCACCAAGCAAGAAAAUGGGAGCCAGUGGCAGCUUCUUGCAUUGAUGCAGCUCUUAUGUGUCCCCAUCGGGGCUGAUCUGUGCAGGGACAGGGGUAAAUGAUAGUUUUGCCCCUUUGGUUUUGGUGAAUCCUUUUGGUUUUUUUCACCCAGAUAAAAGUCUUGCCUUGCCUUGCCUUACAUUGCCUUUCCCUUUUGCUUUCCCUGCUGCAGCACAUGCAUUAAAGCAUCCUUUCAGCGGUGCCCAACAAUAGGAUGAAGGGCAACUGGCACAGACUGAAGCACAGGAGUUUCCCUCUGAAUAUGAGGAAAAACUUCUUUACCUUGAGGGUGCCAGAGCCUGGACCAGGCUGCCCAGGGAGGUUGUGGAGUCUCCUUCUCUGGAGACAUUCAAACCCACCUGGACACAUUCCUGUGAGAUCUGCUCUGGUGGGUUGGACUAGAUGAUCUCCAGGGGUCCCUUCUGACCCCAACCAGUCUGUGAUUCUGUGAUUCUGUGGUCUGUUGGCUGGAGCAGCUCCCCAAUGACACGGGGCAGCUACCCAAGGGCACAUAGGAAGUCUGUGGUAGAGCAGGAAAUCAAACCUCCAUCAAAAUGCAAAAUCAUCACUGUCAGAGCCUGAAACAAUGACAUAUUAUUCAUUUGUUUAACUUGGAGCACAGGCAAAAUGACACGUCUUGUGAUCACUGUUGAGGGGGACGGAAGUAACUCUUUGCUGACUUCAUACAUGUGUUGAUGUCCUUGCAGCAGAGAUAAAGCUCAGGGCUCUAAUACAGGGAUACAAGUGACCCCCCAAAAUCUGCAGCUUCAAAGGCUUGGGGCUCCUUCAUCCUCUAGCAGGAACAUGAUAUUGCUGCCCUUCAUAAAGCUGUUAUAUGGAGCAGUCAAGAGCUUAAAUUGUAGAAUCAUAGGAUCGUUUCAAUUGAAAGGGACCCUCAGGAUGAAUGAAUGUGCCCCCAAAUGAGGGACCAAAGCUUGCCCAGGCCCUGCUUAUGAAUCACAAUACAAAACAUGGCCACUCUGAUCUCAGUUUGUUCACAUUUUCAGGAAAAGUGAUUGGGAAGAAACCUCCCCUAAGGCUCAACCCUGUUCUCCAGACUGUGGACUAGUGAAAAGGGACAGCAGAGGAAGGAUCUCUCGUGCCCAAAGCAGCUCAUGCAGAGCAGCAUGAAACCCUCCCCACCUAACCCACAGCACACUCUUCUAGAGAUCUCCUUUCACUUCAGCCAGGGCAAUGCCACGGCCUUGAAUCACAUUCCUCUCCCGAGUAGCCAUAUACACAGUCUGGUUCCUCUCACUGCGCAUUCAUUCCCACAAAGUGUGUGGUGCAUGCAUGAGAUACUGUCUGCGUAACUAUUCCUCUCUUAAUAAAUUAUUGAUAAAGCUUCUCCUUGACAGACUGCAAAGCCAGGGAGCCCUGGGCAAUUCUACUCCUCCCCUAAAAUGUUCUAACACUUGUAUUUAUCUGAAAAUAAAUGCAUGAUUUUUCCUGAUGACUUUGCAGCUUUUGAAUUGUCUUCUUCAGGAAGACAAAUACUUUGGCUUCCUGCAGACAGGAAAACUACUUCCCUCUUGCCCCCCUACACUCAACUUUCAGAUUUCUUUUGGAUUUAAUAGAGAAAUACUCUUGUGGAGACAUGACCAGACUGCUUACUGAAAGAUCAUGAAGUAUCAACUCUAGACUGACAGCUGGCUUUGGUGUAAAUGCUCAACAAAGAAGUGAAUUAACACACAAACACUAUUUCACAGUUGUAGCUGCCUUGUGCUAAACGCUGCUCUGUGAUCUUGUCAGCAAGGGAUGAAGGCAGUACUAUCUCCAAUAGGCUCCUUAAGGAAAACCCUGUUGGACAACGGGAAGGAACAGAAAGCAAUGGGGUGACUGCAAAAUAUUUAAACUCCUCAGUUCUGGUGCUGUUUUCCUCCUGUUUGUAUGAGCUGGCCCUGUACAUGUUUGGUUUUCCACUGUGCAGAUGUGUGUACAACCUUCUGACAAACCACAGAAACGAUCCAUUAGCUGUGGCAAAAGACGGGGAGUUGGGAUUAUCAGUUUUUAUUCAGGAAACCAUCCCAAUGCUACUGAGUGAUACAGGAGACUCACUGAGCACUUUCUUGACUCAGCUAAUCCAUCUAAACCAGCGAACAGGGUCCAAAGCUUUUUAAGUCUUAAAAGCACUAUGUAUAAUUAACAGACGUGAAGAAUGUAUGUCAGUUCUCAAAGGAAAGGUCAACGCCAGCAAGACUGACAUUGUUACUGGUUUUGUUAUUAUGCCUCGUUCCCACUGGGAGCACAGCUUUUCACUGGGGUAGGGCAGUAUUUCACAGGUUGUGUUUCUAUACAGCUGUAUAUCUGAAGAGCUGAAGACCCAUGGGAUCAUUCAGGUUUUAUAAACACAGGAAGUUCUCAGAACAGUAGGAAAACAUAAUUGUAGCAGAAUUUCCCCAAAUACAGAUUCAAACUGACCACCCGGGAGCCAGCGUGGCAGAUGUGAGCUUCUCAGCAGAGUGCCUGCCCCGAGUCGUCUUUGUAUAUCUUAGACCACUAAAAACAUGAACCACAGCCAUAUCUCUGCUGGAAACUGAGUUCCCCAGGCACACUCUGACUACAGUAAGUUACCUUGGAGGUCUGUUAGUAGCCAAAACCUGGUUUAUUUCUAGAAAGAGACAGAGGAGCCUUCAAAUGGCAUUGGAAAUUGUAAGUAAUGCCACAUACAGCACUUGCUGUCCCAGCCACAACCAAGGUUAAGCUGGGUUCAGGGGACUCUUUGCAAUGCUUGAGCUAAACAGGCAGGCUUGGGGCAGGCAGCUCUGCUGGACCUGUGCCCGUGCACAGGUCAUGCCAUGUUUGAAGGGCUUUAUCGAUUACUGGAGGUUGGUGUGCAGUUUUUAGAAACUGGGAUAACCAUGAAACUUGAUAUUCUUUCCAAUUUUCCCCAAAUCAUCUUUCUAAAGUUCUGCAUUCAUUUACUGUGCCAAAAAUAUUCUUAAAUAUUCCCUUUUAAGUCAGCAAAAUCUCCUGCCAUUUCCAUGUUUAACUUCAACGUUAUAUUUAUCUGCUCUGUUUUGCUCUUCUAGAGUCAGGUACGACUCUUUUGUUCUCAUUGAAAGCUGAAAAUGCUCCAUUGCCAGUCUGGGUUUGUGCUGACAUUAACCACUGGCUUCAUGGACAGGGGUCCUUCAAAUUCUGCAAGGAAGGGGGUGUAGAAAAAGGGAUGGUAAAAAGCAGGUAGAGGUUGGAAUAUCGUCAACACUUAUCAGCUCUGUUUGUAUAAGUGGUUACAUAUAUUCUCAUUUAAAGCAUUCAGAGCUGUCAAUGACAGUCCCUGCAUGGUAAGAACCUGCAUCUUAGGGUUUUCUGUUUAAAAUUUGAUAUAGCUGUUAUCUCCAUAAGUCAUCAGAUAUCACACCCCAAUGGCCAUUGUUUACUCACAUCAGAGAAAAAUACAAGUUAGUUUUCCUUCAGUACUCAGGUCUCACUAGCCAAUCCUUGUUUGACAUUAUGAAGUAUCAUAAAAUUUAUGUAAGACUGUUGUUUUCCCUGUAUUUUUCACUAUUACCAAUAUAGAUUUUCAAGCAAAAGCUACAUAUAUUAACAAACCUUUUCUUGCUACUUCUUUCUCCAGACCUAGUGGUCUGGCUCAAUUCUUGAUUUGUGGAUAAACUUAAGGGUACGAUAUAUUAACACCAUUUUGGUUUUACAUACCUUCUUUGCUGCCUGAGACCUGCAUUUAAAACUUUAAUCCAGAGUGAACUGAUAGGAAAAACAUUGACUGCUGGCUAGAAUGAAUAUUUCUAAUCCAUCUUCAUUGAAGGUACACCCAGUUCACUCUCCUUAAUCCUAAAUGAUAACUGUUUCCCAUACACCUGGGAAAGAUGUUUAAUAUUGAAAAUAAACUAACUGGAGUGCCUCAGGGCAACAUCUGUGGCAGGAAUUACCUUCCCAGUGAGGUAAUCUCUCCAUUCAGCUUUUAAAGGUUAUAAUUUUCAGUGCCAGGGUCUUUAGAGGUCUUCAGUCAGGAUUAUGAGUUUUCAGAUGUCUUGCACUCUAGUUGGGAUCUCUUUGUAUAACUUUUGUUGGUUUGUUUUUUGCAUUACCAGUGAAUGUUUUUUAGGAAACCACUGAAAUGAUCAUGGGAAGGACGCUGACAGAAAUGGGACCUCAGAUGCCCCCUGACCUGUUAGAGAUAUUGCAAAACACUGUCUCUAGCUAUCUCUAUGAACAGAGUUUCUGAGUCCUGAUCUUGGGAACAAAGAGCUUAUUUCUGAAGCUAAUAAUUUAAGAUUAAUCUGAAUUAGAUUCCUCAGUCUGAGUAUCUCAAAAUAAGAUGUCUUCUCAUUUAUUUGACAGGCUUUGGAGAAAAGUUUUUCAAACUUUCUGCACCACAGAAAGGUCUCAUGGCCCCAGUUGCACCUCACCCAUGCAGCACAAGCAAACACAAGCAAACACUGAAAAGAAAGGCUUGACCUUCAAGAAUUUGCAACCUGAAAAAGAUGUCCUUCAUUCCAGGGACAUUUUCAAAACUGAAAGAGUGAUUUUACUGCUAGUUUUGUGCCUCAAUAUCCUGAAUUAUGACAUGUCAAACUGUGGGAUGGAAGACAAGGGCCAGCAAUUGUCCACGCCGGCACUGCACACACCUCAGUGCAAUGCCGUGGGAAGAUACCAGCUGUGGUCUGGCAGCCAUAAAGCUGCUUGGUGUGUGGUCCAGAUGACCUAUCUUGCAUUUCCACAGGGCAUAUUAACUCAGAUACUAACACAUCUACACCAUUUCGAGUUCUGGUACUACUGUAGUCAUCAGCGGCUUGAAGCUUGUGGGGCCACUUGGUGGGCAGCAUUUUAGGAAACUUCUGAGGAUUAUGUCCUUGAAGCUCAUGUUCCUGUCUGGUAAGUAUGGAGUGUUUUUUUACAAGGAUGACACAAAGGAUUUCUAGAAACUUCUUCAAAAAAAAACAGUUCAACUUUGUGUUUUAUUUGCACACUGAACUCCGGAACAAGUAGUUACCUUACGUAAAAAAAUUUCAGUUAGUGAGACACAGAUAAAGAUGUCACAGGGGAAGAGCAGAUUUGUCCCAAAAAAGCUACAAUAUGAAAAGAAAUUUUCUUGCAUCAUGUAUACAGUAGAAGAGCAUAAACAAGGCAGAAGCAUCAGGCUUUCACAUUUUCUAAGGGACCUUGCUCUGGAUUCUGUUGUAUUGAAAAGACAUUCUAAUAUGUGCAUAACAAAAGCAUCAACUAUUCUACUCUACUCAUCCCCAAAAAAUCAUGCAGUUUUGAUGGUAUAAUGGUACAACCAGAAUUUCUUGUUACCAGAGCUAUGACGAUUAUAGAAUCAUAGAAUGGUUUGGGUUGAAAGGACCUUUAAAGACCAUCCAGUCGUACCUCUCUGCCAUGGGUAGGGGCAUCUUUCACUAGAUCAAAUUGCUUAAAGUCCUGUCCAAACUGGCUCUGAACAUUUCCACUCAUGGGGCAUCUACAGUUUCUCUGGGCAACCUGUUUCAGUGUCUCACCACACUCAUUGUAUGACAACACAUGAGCCUGUCCAUGCCUCUCAACAACACAAGUGGGUGCAGGUAUCUGUAAUACAGACUUGAGCUGAUCCAUCCAGUCUACUCCCACUGCUGCCUCCUGUGCCUGCAGACUCCCAGAGGCAGUGCAACGUAGAGAUAAAGGAGGGGUUGACUGUGAACCUUCCCAGAGACCUUCCAUAUACCUUGUCUGGAUGAUUGCAUUAUUCAUGAAGAGUGACCAAGGCAGGUGUCAGAUUUGGACAUGAAUAAGAGACGAAGGAGUGGCUAGUUCUUCCCUGAGCCAGGAAGUCCAGGCAUUUUUCACCUUUGUGGACAUUAUAAAUCCUAUUCAUAAUCUGGCCAAGGUCUAUGUUGAAAUAAUAUAGAUUUCCUUUCGUCUGUUACUUUUACUAUUGAGACAUUUUAAAUCCCCACUCUUCUAAUAGAAACUGUCCUACAAUUCUCAGACCAAACUUACAGACAGAUAAGUCCCUGUUCCAGCACUUCUUUUAGUAGUUCUCCCUCUAUGGUUUAUACCCAUCCCUUCAUUUCACAUUAUACAGAAUGAUCACCUCCUUUCUAUUUGUUAAACCAAACAAACAUAUAAGUGGCUUUAGGUUGAGAGGAGAUUAGACUUGUCUCACAGAAUUGCACAGCAAAUCUCAAGCACCUCUUCCAAACCAUGCUUGUUCUAGAUCAUGGAGGGCUGGAGUUGUGCAGUGAAGUAUUAAAGACAGGGAUUUGCUGACUCCUGUGGAAAAAACAAACAAACAAACCAACCUUCCCUGCUGUACCAUUACUGGAAAUAUCUCAUCUGAAAAACCCCUGGCUCACAAUGAUUAUUUUCAUGCUGAAUUGCCCCCUCCCCCAGCCACACUGCUUUCGAGUCAUGUGGGAUUAUUCCAAAUACAGAAAGCUUUUUAUAGUUCCUGCUAUCAGGGUUGGAUUUUAUGUUAUUUAUUUAUUUAUUUAUUUAUUUACUUACUUAUUUUCCAGCAUUCUAGGUUGGAGAUUUUUCAGUCCUCUGAGUGUACGGAGUUCUCUGGACUUGGCUCUUACCUGGGAUAUGACUGUACUCUUUGAUAUGUGCUCCAUUCUCCUGAUUGCCUAGGUUUUACAAGCAAUCCUACAUCUUCCUCCUUACUAAAACAAGAAACACAAUGUUCACUUCACGUUUUAUCUAGGACUUUAGUCCCCCCCCCAAUCCAUACUGGCCCUGCUUCUUUUGUUCUUCUUCCUUUUAACAGCUAGACACCUUUCACUACCUCAUUAUUAUUAUUAUUAUUAUUAUUUUUAUUUUUAUUUUUAUUUUAUUUUUUUUCCAGAAAUAACUCAUUUUGACUCUUGGCAUUUCUCAUCCUGUUGAGAGAAUUAACAGAUUGAAUAUUUUGCUCAUGCUUCUGAGAGGGCGGUCCCAGUUUGUCUUUCUUAUUCAGGUUGGAUUGUAGGAAUAAUUUGCUAAAAGUGAAUAAGCAAGAACCCUUUACUUGUAAACAGAACUUAAUCGGUAAUGGAAUAAUUUAGCGAUAACAUCACAGUGCCCUUCUGGCAUGGGAUGCACCAUCAAUUUCAUGCUCAUUGAUUCCAUUUACUUACCGUGGCAUGCAGACUGCAGCUCCCAUCAGACCUCUGGAGCCCACCAUGGAAAGGUCACUAUAAUUGCCACAUGCAUUUAAUUUAACAUCCCUCACAAGAGACUGUCUUGUGAUUCCCCAUUUCCAUGUCUCCCACCUUAAGUGAUGUGCAAGUUCUGCUGGGCAGGCACAACUCAUCCAUUUGGUGUGCGCACCUCACCACAGGGCUCUUAGAUGUCACCAUGUCCAUACUAAGAGGAAAUGAUGGUGCUUUGCUCCACUUUAAUCAUCCCUCAAUUUUGUGAGGACUAAAACCGUCCAAAGUAUUUUGAUGUAAGUCUGGCUGACAGCUUUUUUAAUGUGAAUAACGAAAAGAAGUAGGCUGAAAUUAAAUACCUCCAAAAUGUUUUGUCAGUUUUCCCUUUAUGUUCCAACUCUACUUGGCACCGACAAACAAAUAAGAUGCAUAUGAAAAUAAAAUCACCAAUGAAUAACGCAUUUCUUCAGGAGAGCAUGUAAAGCCAGGAAGAUUGUCUUUCCCAUUUAUGAGUUUAAAGAAUGAAUAAUUUAGCAACAUACUGGCACACUAAAUAUUUAUUUGUGGUACUGCUCUGAGCAGAAAAGAUUUUAAAGGGCACAGAAAACUUUACUUUGACCAUAAAGCUACAAAUAGGAGAUUUACAGACCUUCUUAAAGGAUUUAGGAACAGGAACCUCAGUUGCAAUUGGAUUUAUGCUACUAAAUCCCUGAAUUUCUUCUGGAAACACCCUUUAACAUCCUUUGUGGUUCCUAGAUACUUACAUUGGUUUGUCUCAACGUGCCUUCUACUUCUGGCAUUUUUUGAACACAGCAUGUGCUAACACUGUAGAAUCAGCACUUGAAAAAAACACACAUCAGCUGCUUUGGUUUUAAUUAUAAAUACACUUCAUGCAAUUAAAAAUUAAAUCCACCAUCCUUGACUAGCUUUUCUGAAAUUGGGCUAACAAUCUGAGACUUGUUUUGCUGUGUGCAAAGCAAAUCAUGAUCAGUCCUCCCUGCAAUCAGCCUCUGGAGAAAAGAUGGGGGUGGAAAAAGAGGAUAGCAAUUUGCUGUAAGUAGAAAGGAAGGAACAUGGUCACAUGUUUGCCACCAUGCGGUUUCCAAAGAUGAAAAGCAAGCACCUAAAACCCUCCAGGCAACUCAGUGUCUCUGUUUUUUCUCUCUGUUUUCAGGUGUCACCAUUUGAAAUGACACUUAGGCUCCUAAAUCUCUGAGUUCCUUUUCUGUAGCAGUUUACAGCAGUGGAUGAAGGGACAGGACAGAGUGGACAACAUGAUCAGACAAAGCCCGGCUUUUAAGUACUUGGCUUUAUAGUUCAUACACCAUGAUUUUAAGAUGGAGCUAACUGUAUGUAAUUUUAGCUGGAAAGAAACAGCAUAGACAAAGCUGUAAAAAGAGAUCACAUUUUUAAAAAGAUGCACAAGAUGCCAGAACUGUGACUGAGCAUCUGGGUGUUUGCUUUCUGAGUCAUAUUACAAGAAGCUUUUUCUGUGUUGUUCAUUUGGCAGCUCCCUUUUUUUAACAAGCUGAUCAUAUUGUUUUCCUCUGCAAAGUGGUAAGAUGAACACAUUUUCAAACUAAUGAAUAAGCUGCCUGAAUUCUUCUAGUUUCUGCCAAAUCUCCCACGCAGGAAAAGUACCUCAUGGCCCUAAUAGCCUGACCACAGCAGAGUCUGGAAACCCAGGAUUCAGAUGCAGUGUUCCUGAGAGAGGCACAAAAAGUUUAAAUGAGAUGGUUUUCUGAAAGAGGAGUCCUGGUUAAAAGUUAGGCCAUGCAUUUAGAAACCACUGGAUGGUUGUAUUGGGUUUUCCUGGCAGAGUCUGAUAGCAGGGGGACUACAGGGGUAGCUUCUGUGAGAAGCUGGUAGAAGCUUCCCUAUGUCCAAUAGAGCCAAUGCCAGCUGGCUCCAAGAUGGACCCACCACCAGCCAAGGCUGAGCCCAUCAGUGACAGUGGUAGAGCCCCUGCGAUAACAUAUUUAAGAAGGAGAAAAAAAACCCUGCACAACAACAAUCAGAAGAGAGGAGUGACACCAUGUAAGAGCAACAACCCUGCAGGCACACAGAUCAGUGAAAAAGGAGGGGCAGGAGGUGCUCCAGGCACCAGAGCAGAUUCCCCUGCAGCCCGUGGUGCAGAACAUGGUGAGGCCAGCUGUCCCCUGCAGUCCAUGGAGGUCCAUAGUGGAGCAGAUCUCCACCUACAGCCCACAAAGGACCCCACUCCAGAACAGGUGGAUGCCUGAAGGAGGCUGUGACCCCAUGGUAUGACCAUGCUGGAGCAGGGUCCUGGAAGAACUUUGGCCCCUUGAAGAGAGGAGCCCAUGCUGGAGCAGGAUUUCUAGCAGAAGCUGUGACCUCUUGGGGGACCCAGUGUGGAGCAGUCUGUUCCUGGAGGACUGUACCCCAUGGAAGGGACCCACACUGAAGCAGUUUGUGAAGAACUGCAGCCCGUGUGAAGGAUUCACGUUGAAGAUGCCUGUGGAAGACUGUCUCCUGUGGGAGGGACCCCACACUGGAGCAUGUGAAGAGUGUGAGGAGGAGAGUGGAAGAGGCAACAUGUGAUGAACUGACCACAAUCUCCAUUCCCCAUCCCCCUGCGCUGCUUGAAACGUGGGGAGGAGGUAGAGAAUUUGAGAGUGAAACUGAGCCUGGGAAGAAGGGAGAGGUAGAGCAAAGGUGUUUUAACCUCUAUUUUUUAUUUCUCAUUGCCCUGUUCUGAUUUGAUUGGUAAUAAAUUAACUUUCCCAAGUUGAGUCUGCUUUGCCCAUGAUGGUAAUUGCUGACUGACCUUUCUGUCCCUAUCUUGACCCAUGAGCCUUUUGCUGUAUUUCCUCUCCCCUGACCAGCUGAGGAGGGGAGUGAUAGAGCGGCUUUGGUGGGCACUGGGUGUCCAGCCAGGGUGAGUCCACCACAAUGGCUUUAUCUGGACUUUGUUAUAGCAGAUGGUUGGAGCCAGACUAGAUAAUAGCAAUGGUCCUUUGUGGCUGAAUAAACCAUAAAUGACAUGAAGGUAGCAAUGUGUAUUCAUGUGAAACCUGCAAAACCUACUUGAAACCAUCACUGGAAUUACAAAACCAGGCACAUGGAGGCUAGGGAAAGCCAGAAUUAAGGAAAGACUUCUAAUUUAUGCACAGCCACUAUGUUUGCCGUUUAAAUUUGUAUUAUUAAAUGCUCAUUACUCUGUGAUGUGAGGGGUCAGAAGGAAAAAGAGCUCUUUUCUGACCUCUCCUGGCCAGUUGGUGACAAACCAGAGUGAGAAGACCCAUGUCAUGGGCCGCUGGGAACACCUGCUUUUGGUUUUGGUAACCCUGGAAGCAAGGACCUGGGCACAGGGCUCCCUGUCACACUGCCCAGAGUGGUGGGCUAUGGGCCUGAACCCACACACCACCAGGGAGGGUUGUACUUUGCCUUUCUUUAAUGAGUGCUCCAGCUGGCCCAAUUCUGAGUUUCUCCCUGACAGACAGGCUUAUGGUGACAUUCAAUGCUGCAGUGCUCCACUCCAUCAGUGAACUAGACCUCAGCCCUCAGGUCUCAGCUGGAAAACAGAGGCAAGAGCAAUUCCCCACUGCACAGGAAUGCUGUGAGGGCAGACAAGUCCAUUACAGACACAUUGCAACAUGCUUGGAUAGCGACGGUUAAAUAAAUGGAAAAUGUCUCACACAAAACUGUCAGCUCCUCCACUGAUCUUCUUUAGAGCAGAGGCUGGUAAUUAUAGCCCUGUACAUUAAAUUAAGUAGUGAGUUUGUCCAACAAAGAGUAAGUUAAUUAAUUUUUACUUGUUCUGUAAAGAUUUGAACUGAUCUCAUUUGUGCUCAAAGGACAAUGCCUUAAACCAAUGACUUAAGUGUGUUCUAAUCUCACUGUCUUGGUUUAGCUACAACUCAAAUCACAUCACUCUGAAGCUUGUACCAUUCACUGGCCAAGUGUUUAAAAGCUGAUUUUUUUUUCCCUCACUUUGCCUGGUGGUAGGUGACUGCAUAUCUGAAAUUAGAAUCACAGCCUUUGUUUACUAGUCUGAGUACAAAUUUUUCCUGCUUGAGUUCCCUCUUUAUUCUUGACAUGGUUUCAGGCUCUUUAAUUAUUCGACACAAUGCAUAUUUUAAUCUUCACUUCAUAACUCUGUAUAUUUUAAUUUCUUCUCUCCUUCUAAAAAAAAAAGAAUCAUCAUUUGUUUUGCCAUUUGGAAUAAUCAGUCUUCUGGGAUCUCAAGAGAACAUUCAUCUUCUAUCUUUCAUCUGUAGAUGAAAACAAGUGGCUGCCAUUAAUUAACCAGCGGCACACACUAUUACCAACAGUGUUCACAGUGGGGCAGUUUUCCGUCCUCUGCCUCUGAAUGCUUUUUACUUCUUGCACAGUCAUUGUUCCAGUUUGAUGAGCUAAAGGCACUCAACUUAGCAUAUCACUGCAUUAGCUGGGUGUUUGUGGAUUUUCUUGAGAAGGGAUACUGCAGUACAUGUCAGUGUGGAAAGGUGGUCAUGGUCCAUGUACUUUCACACACACAAGUGCCUUGGGCAGCCAGAAUUGUGGUAGCUCCUGGAGAAGGGGUGUGAUUAUGCAGGGUGACAGCUACUGCUGGAGGAAGUGUUGUCCACCUCCAUAAUGAGCUGCAUGUUGGGCUCCCUAGAACUCUCCUCCCAUUUCCAGUUGUGACCUUUAUCUGUCCGUUUCCCAUGGCAGCAAGACCCUGGCCUGGCACCUCUGUGUGGGUGGAGUAGCAAAUCCAUCCCGGGAGAACCAAGAAUCCAUGUUCCCCCUCUGCCUGCUUAAAAUGACAUUGUCUUCUGCCCUGUAGAUUAAUAGAAUCAUUUAGGUUGGAAAACUCCCUUAAGAUUGUUGAGUCCAACCAUAACAGACAUUGCUGCAAAUUCCAGUCCCAAGCUGCUGGUGAUUUUAUUCAUGUAUCUGUGUUUUCCAAGCUUUGGAACCCACAGGACAGCUCAAAAAUGACCCUUUUUGAGAGAAGGUCUUUGGGACAGCUCAUUGCUGGCCCCAAGAUUUUGUUUUAUUUUGGGUAUUGCCUUAUACUUUCAUAUUUCUGAAUGCUGUGUAUUUUGAAUAUUUUUCUCCAGUUCUUUCCAUGUUCUGGUACCUGGGUUGGUGGGCUAUUUUCCUGAACUCUUGAUCUGACUCUAGAGUAUGUAUGCAGCAACAGAGACAUCUAAAAACUAGGGUACUUCUUACAUAAAUACACAUUUAGAAGUCAGACUCUACGACACUUUGCUCCUGGUGAAAAAUCAUUUCCUUUGAGAAAGACUUACCUUUCUUCAUUUCAGGUAUAUUGAUCUUUCUUAAGGGCAAACUGGAUUUUGUAUGAUGGCUGACUGCAAAGGUAUAGAAAAUUACUAUAAUAUAGACUGGACUGAGUGAAGGUCCAAUCAAGAAUAUUUAAAAGUGAACUUAACAGAAAAUCAGCUCCUGAACCACAGUUUGCAAUUACUCAAAUAAAUAUAUAGAGUUACCCCUGCCUAUAUAUGUAAAUGUGUUUUUGCCUUAUUUUACGUUGUCAAAAAUUGUAUUGCCAAUGGUUUAUCUGUAUUAGAGUGAUAACUCACUCUCUGCGGAGGAAGAGAAUUGUAUAAUAUACAGCUUUUUUGUGGCUUUCAGGGAAUAAAAGAUGAGGAGAACGCUCCAGACUUUUUGUGAAAGAUGAACCAAUGACAAAGAUGUAAGAGGAACCCACAGCUCACAAGUGCCUUUCAUUAGAUACUACCCAAUCAAUACAACACUAAACAAAAUUUAGACCACUGGGGUAAAAAUAACACAUUCAAGAUCACUUUGGAAAUUGGACUAAAAAUAAAGAUUAGGUUUUGCCUGGGAAUUAAAUGAUUUGAUCCUCCUUCUUCUUGUAUUUUUUUUUUUUUUUUUUUUUUAAUUGCAGGGUAGUUUGUUUAGCUGGGAUCCUCUGUGGGAGGGAUAUGUUAAAAAAAUAGUGUUAAUGGCAGGGGACCACAGAGGGAAGAAAAUGCUUUUCAUGUAAGCUACUUAUAUCUUUGAAGAGGCAGUUCCAGCCCUUCAGCCCUCCCUAGUUUACCUGCAGCAGAGUCUUGCUCAAGGUAACAGGAUCAUGUUUUGAGAGGAGCUGGAGUCUUGAGUUUUCCAGAUGUGACAUCUGUUUGGUUUUGUGAAAGCUAUAACUUUUUGGCAGUGUUCAAAAAGUCAAAAUAUAUCUGGCAGUUUAGUCACCAGCUAAAACAGUUGCUGUGGGAGGUUGGUGAGAGCAAGGGAAUGGAGAAAAUUGGCACAGUCCUCCCUCUGCCAUGGACAUGGGGGUUAUUCCCUGCUGUAUUAGAUCAUCAGAAGGAAUUUGAGCAUCAAAAGUGCACUGACUCUGUCACCUUUCAGCCACCUCCUGUUUGGUUACAUCCCAAGCUUGCCUUGGGAUGGAGGUGGCUUGACAGUCGCUGUUGAUGAAAGUCGUUUUACAACAUGACUCUUUUUGAAAGAGGAAUGGAGAGCUGUCUGAGCAGGGAAGAUCUGGUCUGCAGAGAAGAUGCAAACAAGCUAUUUUAAAGUAAAUUAGUGAGGAGACACCCUAUACAACAUAUACAUGUUGUGGUCUCACGUGGAAUACUGCACCCAGCUCUGGAGCCCUCAGCACAGCUAAGAUGUGGAUCCACUGGAGUGGGUCCGGAGGAGUCCACAAAAAAUUAUCAGAGGGAAGAAUAGCUCUAUUAUAAAGAAAGGCUGAAAGAGUUGGGGUUGCUCACCCUGGAGGAGAGAAGGUUCUGGGGAGGCCUUGUCCCAUCCUUUCAGUACUUAAAGGGGACUUAUAAGAAAGGUAGAGACUUUUUACAAGGGCCUCUAGUGUUGGGACAAGGAGUAAUGGUUUUAAAUUAAGAGAGGGUAGAUUUAGAUUAGAUGAAAGGAAGAAAUUAUUUACUAUGACAUUGAUGAGACACUGGCAUACAUUGCCAGAGAAGAUCUGAAUGCCCUGUCACUGGAAGUGUUCAAGGUGAGGUUGCAUGGGACUUUGAGCAACAUGAUCUACUGAAAGAUGCCCCUGCCUAUGACAGGGAGGCUGGAGCUAGAUGAUCAUUAAAGGUCCCUUCUGACUGAAACCAUUCUACGAUUUUAUGAUUCUAUAUAUACAGUAACUUAAUAACAAAUAACUGACAAAUAAAAAGGAAAAUAAGAGGGGAGCUGCUGUGAGUGUUCUGCUGAACUGAGACUCCCACCUCACUGCAGGAAUUCAGAGAAAAAAAAAAAAUUUCUGCCCAUGAUGCUACCAUUAGAAGUAGAUUUUAACAGUGAAGCACAACAAACUAAUUAAAGAGCAAUCUAUCUUAGGGCCAAUUGGGAGAGUAGAGGAAUGUUUGAUCUGCCUUUGAGUAGUAGAAGUGAGAUGUUUCCACGAUUUUAUAGUGAAUAUUAAUCCAUUAAAAGAAAUGAUACAUAACUAGGAAAGUAGUAACCUUAGGGGGAUAACGAAUGAUUUUUUUAAUAUCGAAGAAGACUUUACAGAAACAUGCAAGUCAGUCUGCUGCUGUUAUGAGCAUCUGUGUCAUACAACCAAAUUUCUAUUGUAAACAUAAAGAUUUUAUAUUUUGCAUAAUUGUAUUCCUUCUUACUAUUGACUAGCCUCAUGACAUUUUUUACUAAUUUUUGCUUACUUUGCUUUAAAAAAAUUUAAAAUGUUAUGUUUUUAUACCUCUUAGACAUAAUUUUUAUUGUUUGUUAUGUGUUCAUGGGAAACAGAAACUGUAUGUAAGAAGAAAUGGUAAAAUUAUCUACUCUAACAUAGGACUGUAUUCAACCCUACUGUAACCUCACAGCAUUUUUGAGACUUACUUACAUUUACAGCAAAGUUAAAUUUAGUCAUUGCCAGUCUGUUUUCCUAAACAUGGAGUGGGCUGCUUAAACCUUCCAGUUUAUGCAAAUGCAUUAGGAAAUUAAAGAGUUGCAGACAUAACCUACCAGACAGUACACAUACUAAUCCAAUGCCUCAGCUACUAAAAUAUCUUCUACAUGUUACAGGCUAUACUGUGCUCUUUUCCAUUUUCACAACGUGCUGAUAUAGGACUGUAAUAUUUUAAACUCGGUCUUCGAUAUUCUUUUAAACAUAAUCUUAUGUACUUCUGACCACUGCCCACUUGUUUAUCAGAGUCUCUUGUUGCAAUACUACGCAUACACACUCGUGUGCUAAAAUGGGAUGUAUUAACUAAAUCUGAUUCCUUUCACCCCUGUAAAGAUUGAGAUCCUGUUAGUUGUGACAAAUUGGCAUACUUUAAAGAGAGCAGAAUUUGAUCCUUAGUAUGUGGCUCACUACCUUUCUGUGGGUAAAUGCUAAAGAAAGUUAUCUCUUCUCCAAAAGAUUCAUCUCCUUCCAAACCACAUCCACUAAUUGAUUCCUCUCUAUAAAUUGUGUAGUACUUGAGAUGAUAGUUUUACUAUCUACUGAGGUUUCUGAUUCAUUGCUUUAUUUGAAGUGGCAUUUUCUAUUUCAAGGCACUCUGAUUCAAGCACUCUGAGCUUGUAUGACUUCAUGGAAGUCACAACAGCAAUAAGACACUGCACAGGUUGGGUUUGUGCUGCUGCUCUCAUCUUCUGAGCAACGUUCAAACAUGUGGGGUUGACAAAUGUCUCAGUAGUUCAUGCCAUCCAAAUAGCCUCAAGUUCCCUGCAGUUUCUGGAAGAAAAGCCAUCUUUGUUUACAUGUGGAGAUAGAAACUAGACCUCAGUGUCUCUGGCUUCUGCCAGUAGAAUGGAGAUGAAGGUACUUGUCUGGAAAUACAGUGUGUGAGCAGUGGAAGAUAACUGGAGAAAUUACAUCUCUCUAGUGAAAAGCGGUCAAUAGCUAAGCUAAGUCAAGAGGCUUGUAUCUAGUGGGGUACAGAAGAUAAAGUGAUUGAAAAAUACAUAGAGUUAAAAGAAACAAGUGGUGGGGAAAAAAAUAUUGUCAAGAUCAUGUGGGGAGUAUUACUGGGCAGAAUUACAUUUGCCAAGACCAGAGCAAAGAGUGUUAGCAGGACCAUAUGAGGAGAUGCAAAUAUCUUUCUCUCCCUACUCAUCAGUUCCUUGGUUCUGCUUGAUUAUUUUUUUUUGUGAUGUUACAACUAAAUGCUUCUUGGAGCUCAGCUCUUCCUUCUCUGGUGAUAAAUUAGAAUGGAAUGGUUGUGACAUGAUUAUGGAACAUGACAUUACUGAAAAGAACAAAGAAGGAGUGAGUUGUUGUUAGGAAUGACAUUAGGAUGGUGAAUAAGGUUUCUCAGCAGCAGUGAUAUUAAAGGCACUGUGUGAAUUGUGUGCUGCAACUUUUAGUAUGUCUGCAGAGUGAAAGGAAGACGUAUGGCUUACAAUUUCCUGCAAGGAAAUUGAGUGGUAAGGUCUGUCCUAAACUCCCAAGAGGAAUCACUGAGAAAAGUUGUUUGAUUUCUCAAAGUCAUAGCAUCAGUGUUGGAAAGGACCUCCAAAGGUCAGUCAGCAUAUUUGCUGCCCAAGGCAGGACCAACUUUAUCUAUGUUAUUCCUGUCAAACUUCUUCUUGAAGAUGCCCAGUGCUAAAGAUUCAUAUGUUCCCCAGACAGCCCAUUCUCAUGCACCCUGAUCUGCUUAUAAAAUGUCUAGAAAUCUUCUUCCCUUGUUAACAGUCUGUUGGUUAUUAGUAAAAUAUUUUGAGCUCCUGUUUUGGAAGUCACUUUGUAGACUCAGGGAAAUGGCAGCUUGUCAGGACAACAAGGCAGACCCCUAAUUCCUGUUGUAAUAAAACAAUGUUUUGCCACAAGGGUCUACUGGUUUAGUGGCCAGACCUUAGCAGAUGUAGCCAUGGCACAGAAUUAUGGUGGAGUCCAAUACCUGCACCUGGCGUGAUGCUGCAUCACAUGUUGUUAUGCUGCAGUUUGGGAGUUCACUAACAUCAUUGCCCUCCCCUGCUCUGAUACAAAAACCUGAGAUAUUGUGUUUUUUUUUCCUGAGAAAGACAAAACUGAGGGCCUUGCCACUGCUUUUUUAACCCAGAAAAUAGGGGAUCAAAUGUGGUUUUCCUUGGGCUGCUGUCAGGUUCAAAGGACCUGCUGCAGCCCUUCUGAAAAAGUUGCAGAGACUCAUCUGGAGGAUGAUUCUACAUCUUGAGUCAUCUUAAGAGUGAGAAAGGUUGUUUCAAUCAUUUCUUGUUUAUUCCUGUGAGAUUAGAGUUGAUUUAGUCCUCACAUUCCUUUUGGUUUUAUUAUAUGAGUGCCACUGUAACACUUUUGAAAUAUUUCAUAAUUUUGUUAUUUAUGCAGAAAUGAUGUAUUGAAUUCCAUAGUUCCAAACACCCUAAACCAGCAUUCCCAGCACAGAAAGAAGCCAGAGAAUUAAUCCCUUUGGAUUUGUGCAGAUAUUGGGAGAACUUAUUGUCUACUUUAGGAAAAGGGGAAAGCAAAACAGGGCGUGAAUAUUAGGCUUAAUUUUUCACGUAAGAUCUGAGCUCCUUGUGUCAAGAACUCUGAUUAACUGCUUAGCUCUAAAGCACCUCAUGCAGAGUAGCAUUGCUUUAGAUGUUUUCUCCUGCUAUCAAAUUAAUGAUAUCAAAUAGGAUAAUAAAACCUUUUUUGUAUCCCUCCACCAUGAUUCAGGGCAGACACACUAAAAAGAAAGCACUGGCAUUAUAAACAUGUUUAAUAGACAGUUACUCUUUCUAACCAUUGAAAGGUCCUUUUUACCAUUAAGAACUUAGCAUAUGUUUCAAGCACAACUGUUCUCUACAGUUGUGGAGAACAACCAGUCCCCACAUACUUGCCUUGAAAAACUGAGAUCAGUGGAAAUGCUGAAAUAGCAAGAGCUUCAAGAUUGCACUUUGCGUGAAUUUUGUGUCAAGAAAUGGUUCAGAGACCCAUGGUAACAGACUGAGACACUUAUGCACAUGCAGGUACGACUGGAGCUUUCCUCUCUUCCUUCCACCUCUAAUACACACUCUGUCAACACUUCAGAGUUUGUGUCUGGUUUCUGCUCUUUCUUCUCGUGGUUACUUGGUUAAAUCAUGGUCUUUCUUUUUUUGUAUCACAACUGUCUUUAAAGCAGGUAACUUGCACGUCAUGGGUGAAAGAAAUGUGUUCUAGUAGAUGAAACGUUCAGUGGUGAGAUUAGAUUUUCUUGCUUGAUGAUGGCCUAUUUGGUGCCCAUGAAGAAGUGUCAUCACCUCCUCAUGACUCAUUUUCCCCAAUAGUAAACAGAGAUAUUAAUGCUCACCUUUCUUUUUGCAAAUUGUUUUGUUGCUUGCCAAUGAAAGAUGUACACAACAGCUAGUUGUUGUUGUUAUCAGUGUUAAUACUAAAUAUUUCCUAUGUAUUUUAGGGAGAAGGAAAAUAAAUGUACACCUCCAAGAACCUCCAAACCCUCUCUUCAGUAACUGGAUUGUUGUGAAGUGGAGGAUGUUCAGCUGUUUGAAUCUGGUCCCUGUAUGCUCCUGGAUGGAGUUGUUUGUCUUGUGCUGUCCUCCAGGCAAUUAAGUUCUGUCUGCUGUCUGCGUCUGGGACAGUUCCUCUUUUAGAUGGCCACUGAGCACUACCAGGGUAUUUCAGAAGUUUAUUGACACAAUUCAUCCUGGAAAAUGUGAUUUCACAGCUAGCAAAACAUUAGACAUGGUGAUAAAAAGGCUUAAUAUGUGGUGUUCGUUUUUCUGGCAACAGUUUGGGGUUGUGGGUUGGUUGGUUGGGUUUUUUUUGUUUGUUUGUUUUUUUAUUACGCUUCUGAAGCUGAGCAAAAUGAAGUCUCUACAGGAUUUUCUGAGUGAUUUGGUUUUGAUUCUUAUCUGGAAUUUAUUGUUUCCUCACAGACAAUAAACAACAACAAAACUAAAGAAAGAAUUUUUUCUCUGGGUUUUUGACAUUAACAUGCACAGCCAUAGGCACACCAGACUUGGAGCUUGCCUGAAAUACGAACUCCAGUAAAACAAUCUCUUCAGACAAAAACGGGUAUUUGGUCUCUCUUUUGGCCUGUAAAACUAUCAGAUAAAGAAUGUAAUUUAACAGCUGGUUUAAGAUAGCCUAAGUCUCCACUGCUCUCUCCCCCAGCAGCCGGCUGUGCCCCAAAAUCAUCCUUCCCAGCAAGUCAAGGGGAGCUGGAGGAGCCUGAUCCAGCGCGAUACUGAUGCAGCCAAAUGAGGCUCCAUUCAGAGUGGCUUCCUGGGGUGGCAGAGCCCAGGGCAUGGGGAGGGAUGAGACCAGGACUUUUCACAGCAAUAUCAAACUAUGUAACCAUGUUUUCAGGCAGUUAAGCCAGGGCUGCUGAAGCCCAGGGCAUUAAUAUAAACUGUAGCUGGUGGUGAUUUACAUUAAUCCAGGGGCUGUGAAUUGUGCAGUUGAGGGGUAGCUAUAAGCUGAGUUUGGAUACCUCUGUGAGGAGGAAGGCUGAGAACGUAAACUUCAGCCCUUCUGAAAUUGACUGUGAAAUGUGAGUCAGAGCCUUGAUUUAAUUCUUUAUUAUGGCAGUGAGGUUCAAAGUGAUGCAUUACAUUUUACCUCCAAGCUCUUAGCAGUAAAAGCAACAGAUUGGGAAUAGCGACAGCCAAGCACAGGGCAGUGGGGGAAAGAGUGUGUGCCUUGUAUUUAAAUUAAACAUUUUUCUCACCUGCAGCAUGUCAGUUAUCUCCUACAGUGCUUCCUGUGCUUUCCAGUCUCUCACUGCUUUCCUUGAAAACAGAGUGUCCAAAACUAAGAAGAAUUUUAGGCACUGAAACUGUCUGUCAGUUCCGUGCCUGGACAGCAGCAGGACUGGGGUAGCAGAAGUGACUGCAGGCAGAAGGGUCUGUCAGGAGUUCUAUAACACUCCUGUUUUAAUGUGUAACAUUUGGAAUAAAAUCAGUGCCAGCUGAAAUCGGGUGGAACAAAAAUCAAAGCAGCAAGUGAGGAAUCAACUGGCCAGAGAAGCAGAGCUGGGGCUCACAACCUGCUCAUUUAAAAGCAUUCAUGCUCUUCCCACAUUUGCACCUGGACAGGUGGACACUCAUCAUGCAACUUCAAGAGCUUCCUGAUGGUGAGGAGGGAGCAAAUCUCUUCAGAUCCACUUCAGAACCAAAAAUGUCGGAGAAAAUAAAUCUCUUGAUCAAGGGCAUAAGGACAGAAGGCAGAGAUAAAGGAGUGGGAAGCGAUGCACGACUGCAUUCCAUCACCACGAAGAUGCUGUGGGCUGUGGUUAUUGGAAAUGCUGCUGCCUGAGAGCAAAAUGAAGUGCCACCUGCCCAAACUUCAGGAAAUAACAAGAGGCCCUAAAGUAGCAAAGAAUUUAACCUUUUAACCUUGAACAUAUAUUAACCUUUAUGUUUAAUAUCCACCAGUAGACAUGCUGCCCAUUAAUAUGGCUUAUGACUAAUUUGGUUUUUUAAUCCAUUUAUUCUUCUGGCUUGUAUGAUAUAUCACAGCAAUGAGUUCCACAGUUUAAGUGUGUUAUGGUCUUUGUGCAGGCUAGCCUUGUGUGCUUAUAUUGUGAGAAAUAAUAGUCAACAACUCUGCAGUGCAAUAAGCCUUUCUAGUUCUUUUGCCUGUAAAGAGAGCUUCUGUAGAUUAGGAACUGUGAGACACUUGGGAUCUUUCACCUAAUUUUCCAUUAUUUUGAGAUUUUUCCUAUCUUUCAUCUCCCUUUUAUUUCUUUUGCUGCCAUGCACUGCCUUCAGAUAUGAAAAAUCAUGUUUCAUCUGUGUUUCUGGUGGGUUUCAACACAUUUUGGUACUCCAGACUCUCCUUUAGAGUUUUGCUUUUGUUCUCAUGUUGUUCAUCAGCCACCUAUGCCAUAGAGGCUCACAAAGUGAAUUCAUGCUGAUCAUAAUUUUUUAACAUGAGCAUCUGCUCUGUGUAAGUAGUUUCUGCUGGUUUGGUGUGCAGACCCUGAAAAGCCCCAAAGCCAGACAUAGUGUUCAGUGCACAUGACAAAACAUGGAUAAUUUUGGGAAUUAGCCGCUUGUACCUUAUCAGCUUCAGAUGACUUUCCAGUAUAUAACUUUGCCAGACCAUUUAUCUUUCCAGUUACUGCAUAAAGAGAUCUCUUUUUAUGGCUGUCUGCAGAAGAUAUCUGCACCUUUGCAGAAGAUGUCUUUCUCAUUCUUUAAACUUAUGCAAACCAGUAGGUUCUUGAGUCUCAUGAGAAAUAUGCCAGCAAUGUACAUAAGAACAAAAUUUUUGUUCAAGAAGGCAAAUCUGGUACAGAAAAGUAAAUCUGUUGCUUUUGGUAAUGUGUCAGAUUUCUAAGAUGACGAAGCAGCCACAAGUGGAUACAAACCUUGGGCAGCAAAGAGGUCCCUUCCAAUCCCUAACAUUCUGCGAUUCAGUGAUUCAACCACUAUCCAAAUUUACAUAUCAAUUAUGAACCCGACAGACUGUACCUCUUCUCUGAGUGAUGGAAAAAGAUCACCAUUAUGUACUGAUAGAAAAGUUUGCAGAUUAUCUAGAAAACAUACAAUGAGAGAAUAAGUGGCAGUAUACUGAUCAAGGCUCAGGUCUAUUGGUUUAUGACAGUUAUAAAAAUUGAAAUGUUAUUUACUGUUCACAAUAAUGCUUCCCGAAUGAGCAGUACUGUAAAUUAUAACAAAAUGUGCAUCUUCUAAUCAGAUAUACUUCUCAUGUAUAUACUUAUGUCGCUUAUACUUCUUAUGUGGCUUAUUUAUGCUCCUCUAACUACCAAAGAAAAUGCAAUAACUUUGAGCUGAAAUGAGCAAAGUUAUUAUUUCUUGUGUCCUCACUUGGGAAUGCCAAAUGGGCAGGGAUGCAAGGCCAGUCAGACCUGUGCUGCUUCUUACAUAUGUACCCUCAUUGUAUGCACAGAUGGCUAAAUAAGCAGAUCUCUGGCAGUGCUGUUGUAUGUACCAUCAUGCUAGCUGACAGUACAAGGUAAAGUUGCAGAUGUGAACAUAUGCCUGCCUUAGCUGUCAGAUCUAUCCUAUAGACUGUGUUUCUGAAUAAACUGUGUUUAUUUUGCAGUGAAUCACAGAAUCACAGAACGUCAGGGAUUGGAAGGGACCAUGAAACCUCAUCCAGUCCAAUCCCCCCACCGGAGCAGGAACACCCAGCUAUACAGCAAAAGGAACAAGGAAAAUGCAAGGCAGGAAUACUCUUAAAUAUCUUUCAUACCCUCGACCUCUCUUAAAAUGCUGGUGUUUACUGUAACUUGGCAACCUCUAGACCUGAAGAUACUGGGAAUAGCAGUAUGCACAGGAUUCACAGCUGCUCCCUGGGAAACAUUUCUGUUCACUCCUAUCCUUGGAAGAUACGAUGCUGCUAAACCCUGUUCAGUGGGUCUGAGGUCAUGACCACCCCUUUACCACAAGGACAUGACUGCGUGGUGGCAGCUCUAGUAGACACAAAGAAGACAACUGUUUGGAAAAGUGCUGGUGUGCCAGCAUAUUCAGUGGCCAAGUGGGAUCAGCACCAGUCAAAACCCCUGUGACUUUCCAGCCUGAGGCUUCAUAUAUGAACACACCAAGCAAAGAAAGGCAAGUAUUUCUUCAUCUUCCAGGAGAAAGGCAUUAUGAAAACAAAAUGCAGUUACUAGCUCACAAAUCUAUGGUUAAAACAGAAACUAAAAAAUGCACCUUUGUGGCAUGUUAUUGUUUUGGUUGUUUUUUUUAAUAGAAAGAAAUACUUUCCUCUGGGUUAGCAAACAAUGACUCAUGUCAGUUCUACAGCAAUGACACACAGUAAAUUACACAUCUAGCUCUCGACAUCUUUUUGUCACCUGAAGAGCCAGGUUACAGAUUAUUUGGCUGGGAUGCUCUUAGCAUGAUUUCUUAUAAAUAUCUAAGCUCAUAUUUUUUUAGCUUCCACAAGGCAUUUAAAUUACUUGUUAAAGUUUUAAGGCAAAUAGAGAAGCAAAAGGGCACUUUCAGAAAUGCUUUUUGCAUCCUCGGGAAUGGUGAGACCUCUACAAACGUUAGGCAGGUUUCAAAACUACACACAACGUUUUAGAUAUGACCUGUUAUCAUUAGACUUGGGCAGUGUAACUUGUGUGCUUUCAUUCUGAAAACAUUUUCUAUCCAAGUACAACUUCUACUAGCAUUUCCAGCUGAAGACAGUCAUUUGUUUCCAGACAACUAAACUCUGAUAUCAGUUUUCUUUUUAAUUAAGUAAUCUGGCUAUACAAAGCAAGGAGUAUAGCCCACAUGCCAUACUGAAUACCCCAGCAAAUCAUUAGCAACCAGUGACCCUCUGCUCCAGCCAUACCUUGAGGUAUGACCGGAACUCAAAACAGCAAACUGUGACCCACAGUUAAAUUCCAGCCACCACAGGAACAAUAUUUUCGUAUGGAUUUGAGGUUGAAAGAGUGAAGCAUUUAGGCAGUGAAAGAUAAAGUUGCAACAUGGUACAGUCUUAAAAACUGCAAAGCCACAGCAGGAGUAGGAAGACUUGCAGAGGACCUUGAGCUUCACAGACAACCACCUAUACUUCUGUUCAGGAGAGGACAGCAGCUCACAAAGCUACAGAACAGCCAUCUGUGUUGUGUGUGGCAAGGUCACGAUCACAGGCAGAGAUUUAAUGGAGCAGAAAGUGGAGAUGGGCAAGUAGAAAUAUAAGAUGGACCAGCUCCAUCCUCAAACUCUGCUGUCCUGGGCAUCACCUAAGACACACAGUGAAGACUGUAGGUUUGGCUGACCUCGUUCUCCAGCCCCCUCUUUGCUUGUGAUGGAGUCUGGUUUUGUGCACAUCUAUUUACACUGUAAUGAUAAUACUUGUUUUGAAAUGUUUAUUUUCAUCUAGGUGGGCUGUAAAAGCCUUCUGGUUUUCCUCUGCUCUUCAAAUUUAGAUCUGUUUUUGAAUGAAAAUGUGGCUUCAAAAUGAUACGGGUUUUCACUUUGAAAGCUGUUAUAAUGAAAUCCUCUGUCAUGUUAUAAAUGAAAUAAUUCAUUUGUAAAACUUGGAAACAAAACUUCAAUAUUUCUAAAAUUUAUUUAUUUAUUUAUUUAUUUAUUUAUUUAUUUAUUUAUUUCCCAGCAGAAAUAAACAAACAAAAAAGCUCUGGAAAUUAGAUAUGAAUCUGCAGGGAGUUUGACUCACAUAAAGCUGCAUUUCACUCCCACUGAAACUCCUUCCUUCAGUCAAUUUGGUGUUUAAAAGGAAAAUAGUCCCCUCCCUGUCUAAAGAAGCAAGCAGAAGGGAAUGACAAAAAUGUCAUUAGCAGGUUGGACCAGGGACUUAGGACAUGACAAUACUUCACUCUUUUUCCAUUUCUCAUAGGAAUUUGGCAAUGGCAUUUUAGCCGGUGAUUUGGGGGCACCUUGAAAUAAAAUCUUUGCAAUAAAAUAUCCUUGAAAUAAAAUAUCCUUGAAAUAAAAGCAGUCUGAUUUUCAGAAAUACUCAAUGCCUUCACUUUUACUGACUGGAGGGAAACUUCACUAAACUGAACUAAGGCACAUUUUAGUGUAGGUGCUUGGCCAAGUACCACGUAGGUUAUUUUAUACAUUGGAUGUCAGCUAUAAGGCAUAAUUUCUGUUACUAAUACUGAGUAUCUUAGCUAUAAACAGUCAUACAAGCGUAUUUGGGAAAACUGGACGGUGUCUCAGAAUAGAAUAUGGCAUUUUCACACAUGUUAAAAAAAUAGUACUUUACUGCAUGUGUGCAGCUCCUUUUGGACUCAGGUGUACCUGAGCAAGUUCAUGUGGAAAUUUGACACCAAAGAGAUCACGUUAGAAUGUUCUUUCUAUAGCCAGAUCUAAAAGUUAUCUCUUAUUUUUCUAAGUUUGUAUUAGCUAAUUGCUUUUCAAAUCAAAAUGAAUAGAGACAAAGCUCCUUUGAGACUCUGGGGUGUGCUGGGAGCAUGUUGUGUUACAUCUGCUCACUUCACUUUGAAUUGCAUCAGAUUUUGGAGAGUAACAGACUGUUAAUGGGCGCUGUCACACAUAAUUUGACACAAUCAUAUUUCUACAUCCUGAAUUUGCAGCCCUGAUCUUGCCCCCUCUGGCGCCAUGAGAAGAGUUUCAGUCCUCUGUAAGGGGCUUCUUUUAAAUCUGUGUCUAUGCAUUUUGAAGAGCUUUCUGAGGCUGCACUAUUGCAUAGCUGCCAUUAGACAAGAUUAUAUCUUUCAACAUCAUAGGUCUGUCCUAAAACUGUCAAAGUCAACAGUCUAUGAAUUCAUUCAUUUUACAACUGCAGAUUCCCGUGUGCUAGUGAAAGAGCCAAUUUGCAUCACUGAAUUCAAAGAGAAUAUCACUAAUAAACAGCAUAACAACAUAUAUUACCACAGUGUGCAGGACCAACUAAAAGAAUUCAUGAGAUGCAAGAGACUUUAGGAGAAACCUCAGUGAGGAAAUGGGCUAGAACAGUGAGUGUGGAAUAAAACUGAGAGGAAGAAACAGGAAAAGUUUGGCACAUAGGGCUAGAGUGAGGGCACAAGUGACAUGAGGUAAAGUUCAGUCUAUUCCACAGGAAAAACAGAAAGCAGAUAGUUCACAGCUCUUGUAGCUACUGCAACUGUUUCUGCAAGCAGAAGUCACUUUGGCAAAGUUGCCUCCAAGAUCUUAGGUGAGGAGUGAUGGAAGGAAGAGGAAGAUGGCAGGAAAGGAUCACAGGACUCUUUAGUCCCCCAGGUAAGGAAAGGUCUCCUUUGCCCUUAAGAUUGUUAAUCAUGUGAUUUUACCACUCCCUUUUCCAAUUACCUAAGAGAUCUGUGCUCUCUGAAGAUGUGCAUGGGUUAAACAGAAUCCAGGCUGAAAACUGGACCCCUAAAUUAUAUUUUGAAAGUGAAUGAACUACUUUAAGGAGGUGAAAGCUGUCACUGGAUCAGUCCAUUCUGGAGAACAUUGACCUAGACAUGUAGAUAUUCAGAGUGAGCUAUUUGGUUUCAGCAGAGAGAUGUUAAUUCCAACUCGGAGCCCUGGUAGAAAUUUGAAAAGCAUUAAACUUGUAUCCGAUACUUACACAGUGAACCAAAUUCUUACCUUCAGCAACGUAAAUUUCAGACUGCAGUUAGCCAGUGAGGUUGCUCUGAACUACAGCUAAUGGAAACGAGAGGCAAAUCUGAUCUAGAAUCCCAUGUGGGAACUGGUAAUAUAGAUUGAUUGAGACAUUAUUUUAGAAAUAUUUCAUAGUCAAUACCAUGACUUCAAAGCUCAAUGUCAUCUCAAGUCUCCUGGCAUGGAUACCUGACAUUUAUUAAUAGAGGUGCUGAAGGACUGGCAGCCAGUUGAUGUCAUCAGACAAAUUACUUCUCCAUUACCUAUUGAUUACUGUUCUGCCUGGCAAAGAGUACGUGCUUACUUUUCAUACCAAUGGGACAUAGAAAAAUUCAAUAGCUGACCACUUUAGGUAAUUAUCCAGUUCCUGAAAUGCUUCAUCUAUAGCCAGAUAGAAACUGUCUUUUCCAGCACCCAGUUAUCUGUCUUCUCAGCAGAAGAGUCACAGAGAAAAUAUUACUCUUGGGUUGCUCAUAUUUCCCUGGAUCUUUUCCAUUAGAUAAUAGGUUUAAUUCAUGCUCCUGUCCUUAUUUUCCAUAGGUGCAGCACACUUAAUCAAAGGAUGACUUUAUUAUGUCAGAUCCACGAGAUGAGAUAAUCAUUAGUAGAGAUUAUGAAGAAGUUUGGAUCUAUCAUGUUUCCAUGAAAAAAAUAAAAAUUGUAUCAAUAUAAAUGCCUGUAAGAAUGUGACAGUUUUCACAAAAUAUGACAGGAAAAAAUUGAAGCAAUUUUUUCCUCAUUUUGCUUUGAUAAGACAAAAAUAUCUUGUUGUGACUAUAUUGUCCAUAUUUGUUUUGCCUAGAGUGCUCUAUCACAUGCCAAUAUACAUUUUUACAGUGUUGCAAAGGCAUCACAUAAGUUGAGAUAUUAUUACCAUACCUCUGCAAAACAUUUUGGCAUCGCUGAAAUUAUAUGCCUCUGUAGUCUCAAAAUCAAACAGUAUAUUACUAUGUAUGAAAAGUCUUCUUGUUUCAUUUUAUUUUCCCACUUUUCAUGAAACCACCUAAUAUGACUGCAGAUCUUAUGAUGUGUUCUGGUGACAGAAUAGUAUAAUCUGUUUCCUAGUCGUAGUUGACAGUACAGUUAGAAGAACCAGAUUGGUUCUUGUUCUCAAUGAGCUGGUCCUUCAUAUAGGAAAAAAUAGCACAACUCUCCUUGUCAUGAAAUUAGCCUGAUGUUGUUGUUUGUAUGUAGAGGUGUGGAGGUGACUGUUUAUAGACCUUCUAGUUAGAUGUGAGAUAGGAUAGACACAGCACUGAGAUAGGAGUGCUAAAUAGCAGCUCAUCAAGAUGGGAACGUGAUGGGUAGGUUUUCAGGGUGUAGCCCAUUGAAGAAAGGAUGGAGAAUGGCCAAGUGUCCUUAGAACAGUGAUGAAGAAAACGUUGUUUCUCUACUAGCAUUGACAAAAAAGGGAUUUGUCUUAUCAUGAGUCUCACAAGACUCACAAGUCACUCACAAGUCAAGGCUAAAGAAGCAAGAAAAAUCACUGGCCAUCUGUGACUAAACUCAGACCUUCCAGUUCCUCUGUGAAGUCCAAAGAGGGUGAACUGGGAUGGACAGUGGCACUGAGGUGGAAAGAAAAACCUAAAAUUCAUGGGAAACAUGAGGACAGCCAGCCUCUCAGGGACAGAUUUCAGCAAUGGCCCAGGAGAUCAUUAUUAAUAUUUUAGUGCUUCCAAAUAUCUCCUUAAGAGGAAGGAUGUGAAGAAGCAUUUGUGCUGGAACUAAGGAACAGCUAUACAAGAAAAAAACAGAAACUAUCCCCUACCUCAGCAGCGCUACAAGCACCCAUGGGUGUGCUCUGCAGGUCUGUGCAAAGGCAGGCAAGACGCAGAUUUAAAACCUCUAAAAGUUACAUGGAAAGGACUUUGACAAAACUUUUCCUGAUUUACAUCUUUCACAACUCCAAAAUUUCAGCCAACUUCCACAGGGAGUAAAUCAGAAAAGUAUUUGUCUCACUGAUUAUUUAAUUAGUCUGCAGCUGCCUAGCAGCUCUCUAGAUUGGCACACAGCGACUAGGGAACUUCAGGAGCCGUGUCUUGCAGAGCAUGAAGUAAUUAAAAAAAAGUCAUUCUGAAAUCUACAAUCUCAAGGGCAAGGUGGUGACCCACUGGUAAAAUGGCCAUUGAGUUGUACUUCAUCAGUAAAAAAAAAAAAAAAAAAAAAGUAAAAAUGCAGGGCCCACAGGCUGUGUUUUCAAGACUUCUUGUAAAUACAGCUGGGGGAAGGUUGAAACCUUGCACUAGUCUGUAUGACAUCUCAUAUAAAAAAAAAAUACAUAGAACUAUUUUAGAACUAUUUAAAAAGCAACUACCGAAAUGUGUUUUUAACAUUUACUUCACAGAGAAGACCUCAGUAUCUCUGGUUGUCCUACAGCAUUCCUGUUUCUCAGACAACAGUGAGUCUAUGGCCAGCUCAUGCUUUCCUGCUUCCCAAACCAGAGAGAAGAAACACUCCACCAGCAUGCAGUGAACAUCUUGGUUAUUUUGCAGUCUCUGCUUUGAAAACUUUGGAUAGUUUCUUGACAUCACAUGGUUGUCUGAACACUGUGAUUAUUUAUUAGCUUUAUGAAUACAAAAAUAAGAUCACAUAAAAAUUUGAAUGAACUCUGAAUAGGAGUCAACACUGAGGAGAUAUAAUUUAUCUGUAGACAAUGGUGCUUUGUACGUGGGAAGUAGGUGCAUGGGCAGUUGCAGGGCUGUGGACGGUGUGUAUUUGACAGGAUGAUGUUUUCUCUAUUCUUGAGUAGGAUCGGGCUGUUCUUGCUCUUCUGCCUCCAGCCCUUUUGACCAGGGUGACUUUUCCUCAACAGGCCUGAAUUCUUGGCCCUUUCCCAUUUUCACAGUGAGCCUUGUUGCUCCUGUUGCAGUCAUGUUCAUGUAUCAGUAAUAAGAAAUAAUGCAUGUGUUUAUCUAUAUCCAUACUUGAGAGUUGCUCAUGCUUCCCAGUACUGAGUGAGCUAGCACUCAGGCCAUCUUUCAGAAGAUAAAUAAAUGAAGAGACAUUAGCUUUUUAUUACUUCUACGAUAUAUGUAAGUGCUUUUGGGAAGUGGCUACUUCAGUUUUAACAGCUGAAAGUUAAGCAGCCUUAAAAGAGAGUACAGUUUUGUGUUCACUGAAGUAGAAAGGAUAACUUUUCUGGUAUGAUGGAGGUUUUUGAAUGUUAUUACAUGCCCUGUGAGCAAGUGGGAUUUUAAAAUUACAGUUCCAGAACUGAAACCUAUUGAGUGAUACAUCAAGGACUUGAGACUGAAACAUAAGCCAUGAGUAGGUCUGUUAUCAAGGAUAAGGCAUGUGUAGCUUAUAAUCAGCAUCCAAAAAAUGUGAACAUGUCCCUUGAAAAAGAGUUUGCUGCAUAUUUUAGUAGAAGUGGUGGAGAUUUGUUAGUGUUUCCAAAGAAUUUCCGUCUAUGAAAAAAUGAGAUCAUAUUAAAACUAAGUGAAUCAGGGACACAUCUUUACCUCACGUGGCCACCACCCUUCUCUUGUCUCCCGGCACAGGCAUGCAGGCCGAAAGAGGAGACAGAAGUCCUGCUUCUGUAGACUGUGACAGAGCUUCUAUCGGCCUCAGCAUGACCAAUUUCACCCAGUUAUUUCACUGUUUAGGAAUAAGAGGCUGAAGUAGCUACCUGUUUGCCUUGCAUGGGGAGCUCUGUGUCAAAAAGUCUGUGGCAUGAGGUAUUUGGAAGAAAUUUGUUGUUAUGUGCCUGUGCAAAUUACAGGAAAUAGCAACCGGAAUAUGAACCCUAACAGUGGGACUCACUUCACUUAAUCUAACCAUUUAAAGUAAAUCAUGGAAAGUUCCUUCUUUGUUCAAUGGAUAGAGAAAGAUACCUCCAAAUUAUAACUCAUCAUGUCCAUUUCAGUAUGGAAAAAGGCCACCAUGUUGGGGUGGCAGUGGAUGGGUAGCAGCAUGUUGCAUCUUGGGGAAGAAGUGGAUGUUGUUUAUCUUGACUUUAGCAAAAGUUUUGACACUGUAUCCCAUAACAUCCUCAUAAAAUAUCUGAUAAGUAUGAACUAGGUAAGUGGACAGUGAGGUAGAUUGAAAGCUGACUGAACUGCCAGGCUCAAAGGGUUGUGAUGAGUGUCAUGAAGUCUGGUUGGAGUCCAGUCACCAGUUGUCUGCCCUGAGGGUUGCUGUUAUUUUAUAACAUCUUUGUUAAUGACCUGGACAGAGCACACUAACAGUGGGUUUGCAGAUGAUAAAAACCUAGGAGGAAUCAUUGAUACAGCAGAUGGUUGUGCUGCCUUUCAGGUGUAAUUCAACAGACUGGGAAAAUGCACAAAGAAGAACUUCACAAAGUUAAUCAAAGGCUAUGCUUCAAGGGAUCCCAUCAGAGAAAUUUCAUUCUUCCUCAGGUGACAAAUUCUGGACCCAGGGAGAAUAACACUACACACCAAUGAAGGUUGGGAGCUGACCCACUGGAAAGCAGUUUUCGAAAAGGACCCCAGAGCAUUCUGGCGGACAAGAGGUUUACUGCAAGCAGCAAUGUGCCCUUGCAACAAAGAAGUCCAACAGUCACCUGGGCUGCACAAGAAGGAAUGUUGCCAGCUGGUUGAGGAAGAUGGUCCUUCCCCUCUGCUCAGCACUAGUGAGACACAUCUGAAGUUCUAUUUCCAGGUCUGGGCUCUCUGGGACAAAAGAGGAAUGGCUAUACUGAAGUGAGUCCAGUGCAGGACCACAAAGGUCCAAAGAGACCAGAGCAGCUGACAUGAGGAAAGGCAAAGAGGCCUGAGACUGCUCAGCCUGGAGAAAAGGAGACCCAGGGGGAUUUUAUAAUUUUUUAUAAAUUCCUGAAGGGUGGGAAUAAAGAAGACGGAGCCUGGCUCUUCUCAGUGCUCUGUGACAGGACAAAAGGCAAUGGGCAUGAACUGAAAUACAGAAAAUUCUAUUUAAAAGUAUGAAAACACUUUUAUCCAUGAGGGUGGUCAAACAGUGGAGCAGGUUGCCCAGAGUGGUGGUGGAGUCUCCAUCCUUGGUGUUAUUGAAAGCGUGAGAGGACUCAGGUCUGAGCAACCCACUCUGCCUGGCCCUGCAUUGGACUACAUGAUCUCCAGGGGUGCCAUUCAACCCCAGCCAGCCUGUGACUGUGUGGGUACCAUCAGGUUGCUAUUGUGAGGGAAGAAGAUACAGAGAUGUAUAUAUGCACCCUUGCUCAACAGUGCAAUUACUCUGUGAAAUGGAGGAAUGUGCCAAAACUUCCCAAACAAGCCCUGAUGAGCUUAGACAGAACCAGAAACACAUCGGCCGUGUCACUGUGGUGUCAUGCCCAAAUGUUGCCCUACACGCUACCUUCUUGCUCUGCAGUCAGGAGAUGCACUGGUGCAAGAUGAGCCGAAGUAUCCUCUGUUCCUUGUUGCAAAAGGACUCACAUUGUUUUGACUGACUUCAUCUUUAUUGUUCAGAGCCCAAAGCAGAAAUAAUGCAAAGGUUUCCAAAUGGUUGAUAAGCAGACAAAGCAACUGAGUCCAUGACUUCCCAGUGCUGUUGGCUUCGUCAGCAUGAUGAUAUCCACAGACUGAUGUUCCCCAGUUUUUAGUAUACCUCUUUGGGUAGGGUAAAUUGCACAGACACUCCUGCUCUUGUUUGAUAGCUCUUUCUGCAGAUUGCUUUCUUGGAUUAACAUCUUGCUUUUGUUCAGCUGUCAAAAAUAAUUCAUGCAACAGUGCAAAAUAUAUUUCAGGAAAUAAUAGCAUAAUAAUGAAUAUAAACCAUGUAGCAUUGCACUGCAGGUGAAAUAAAUGGGGAAAGAGAUGAAAGGAUUAAUAGCUACAAGUACUGAAAAUUGAUUAUUUUUUAAAAGAUAAACACAGAGUGAUAAAUAUCAGCCUAAAAAGCAGAAGUUUGUGCAGCCUUGAAACAAGGUGUAGACAAGCUGAAUGCAGCCUCCACUCAAAGCAGCAGAAAAAUAAUUAGAAAAUGUCUGGCAAGAGAAACUAAGUCGUCUUUAAAGAGUGCCAACAAAUAAUACAUAAUGCAUUUGAUUACAUGCUUUGCUCUUUGCAUACCCAAAGCUUUCGAUGGUGUCAGAGGGAGAUCUGGCAAAGUCAAAGGGGUGAAGUAAAACCCUGAACAGGAAUCUAAUACAAAUUCUACAUCACUUACAUCCUUCUAUGUAAGAUUAUAGGAUUUUAUAACAUUGCUCAUCACUGUAGCAUCUGAAGGCUGAUCUCAGCAGUACCGAUCUACAUAAUGUUACUUCUGAGCUUAUUUGUCUGGAACAGCCCUCCAAGUUUGGUUGAAUCUUUUGGGGUUUGUUUGUUUGUUUAUUUUAACAUCCUAUUGCAUUAAAUAUAUGUAGUGUUCACUUUGUAAAAGAGAAAAGCUGAAGAUUUGUCAAACUGUGAAAUAGAAUUUCACAAAUUGAAGACCUCAUUUAAGAAUAUUUAUGCAAGUCCUUAAAUCCCUCACAGUUUAAAGCACCAUUUAAACAUGUGCAUAAUGCGAAGUAUGUUUUUUCUGGCCAUUGACAACAAGGUCUAGUAAGUGUAUUUGCCUAGGAAUUUUUCCUAGUGGUACAAAAGUAUAUUUUAUUGUACAAGAAUCCUAGUUAAAAUAAUAUAUAUUUUUUCUGAAUAACAACUUAAUACAAGGCAGAAGGAGGAGUAAAGGUGCGAACCCUUCCCAGUGAGGUGUUCUUUAGCUACAUACGAGGCAGAGAUUUCCUGCGGUGUAGUCAUGCUCCAGAACAACAUUCUCUUUGUCCAUGUCAGCAAAGGACUGAGGAGAGGGGAGAGAGCUCAGACCAUGCUAUGUUGCUUUCUAGCAACAAAUAGGGACCCUGUCCUUUGCAGUCACACUGACCUUUAGUGGGGGUGGUUAGGAUAAGGUUGAGAAGGGCAGAUCUCAUCAGGCAGUGAAAAGAAAUUAUUUUUUUUCUUAAUAAUUUUAGUAAUCCAAAAAACUCCAAAAUUCUCAUUUAGUAAUCCAAAAUUCUUCAGAGGAGAUGGUCCAUUAUGUUUUCAGAGGAAUUUUUAAUCAUCACAUUUGAGAGGAACAGAGGUAGUUUUGUUCCAAGAGCUCCACUAGGAAAAGCAAACCAGAAACGUGAUUUGUUUGCUGUCCGUGAACAUUAUGCUUAUGCCAUAUCAACCUCUUGCACUGGGAUUCCUCCUGGUCAUUUCAGGGGCCAGGAAAGAUUUUUUUCCCCAUUUUUAAACCAUAGUUUGGCUGCUUGGAGGGAACAACAAUGAAAAAUGGUUAUGUGAUAGGGAAGAUGUGUGGGGUGCUCUUAGUGACAUCAGUCUUUAUAUCCCCUAUUACUGUGUUUUGUCUGUACUGAGGGUCCAGAGGGCAUUUUCCUCCUAGGUUUGUUUGUGGGAGAGAGGGAAAGUGGACUGAUUUCCUCUGUAGCAUGGUCUGCAGUUGCUGUCCUAGGGUACCUGGGAAAAAGUACAUAUGAAAGGAGGAAAGGCACUUAGCAAGUCCUCAGCUAGAGGAGAUAUCUAAAGCAGUGACACUCCACUGCGUAUUACUGACGAAUCUCACAUCACUUGUGUGGGUUUUUGUUUCCCACUUUACGUCUUUGGUCAAUGUGGGGUGUUGGGAAGAAGGUCUGCAGUGUGAAGACAAAUGUUCUCUGAGACAGCUAAAGAAAAAAUCUGAAUGUGUCAUUUAGAGAAUGCAUCAACAUAAGGUUUGAGCAUUGCCUUUUUUUCCCCCACCUUUAGCCUUUGUCCAAAUUUGACCUAAAUUCACAGAUAUGGGUGGGGAAGCUCAGAAGGCUGAGCCCCUUUUUGAAAGGGAAGUGUUGUCUCCUCCUGACUUACAGACUUGUUCAGGAACAAGAAGCUCUGGCUCUUUUUAGAAGCAGAGCAAUUAAUUUUCCACUAAGCUAUGCCUUUUUCAUUUAGAAAAAUUACAUGUGUUUGUCUAUGUCUAAGACAAAAUGCAGGCUAGAUAUUAAAAAGCAUUUUUUUGUGUUGGUGAUGAAUGGGAUUUGCAAAGCACCAUGAUGACUACUUUUCUUUCAUUUCAAUGAGUGCCAGGUGAUUUAGAAAAUGCUGAUAAGUACCUCUCUUACCUUUCUAUAAAUAUCUUGAAGUAUCUGACCUGCAUGACCCAGAUAGAAGUAGACAACGUAGUUGCAAUUGGAAUGCUUUGCAGAUGGUAAAUGAUCCACACUGAUUAUCUGGCUCCUCUUCCCACCAGAGCAUCUCCUCCCACUGCUGACCUGAGAAGGACAGGCCUGUCUGGAGUUAACCAAAGUUAUACACGUGAGUAAGGGAGUGGAACUGCUCAAAGAGGGAGGACAGCCUCAUCUAACAGCCAGGAAGGUCCUCCUAAAGUUGUAGAGGUAACUUUGGGAAAUGUUCCUGCAGAGGACAGAUAUUGAUAUCAUCUGAGUCACUUAAACCGUGACUGGAAAUAAGAAGACCUAAUCUAAGCUUUUCUGGAAGAGAAAACAUUGUGGGAGUAGCUCUGUUUCCCAGCCUACCCUGUUCUUGACUCAGACAUACCUUGAAAAUUUGGGCUGUAUAUUUAUUUGCAUGUGGAUUUGCCAAGGUGUCAGUUUCUAAUGCAUCAUUUGAAGAUGUUCAGAUGCUCCAGAAUCUCUCACUACAAUGUGCUCACACCCGGCUGCAGGAGGUUAGGAAAGACUUCCAUGUCUUAUUCUCCUCUAAUUUUUGAGACUUUAUUAGAAAAAAACGAAAAAAAACAAACAAAAAAAAAGGGAUUUCUUGGACUUUAGAGAGUUGGAGAAUUUGGGAACUCUGAUUAAAAAUCCUUCUUGCAUUUUUUAAGCUUGGGGGGUUCUUUGUUAUUAGAUGUUCUGGGAAAAGUGAUAGGAAAUAUCCUAUGCUCUGCCAAAACAUAGGAAAUACCCUGUGGAGGGCUGAAAGUGAAGUUCCAUUUAGAGAACAUUUUUGAGAGGCAUACAUCCCUAGUGAAGAGGCCUCAUUUUAUUGCACUAAAAAAAACCCAAACCUGUCUCUCUCAAACUCUCCUUUUUUCUUUUUAUCAAACUAUAUAGCACGUAGCAACUACCACCAACUGGUGUGUCAGGAGAUUGGUGCCAGGCACUAUUAACAUUUACAUGUCCUUGAAUGUGGCAGGGUGGUGAGCUUUUUCUUGUUUGAUGAUCUAGCUUGUGAAACUGGUGAGAGCAGACAGGAAGAGAAUGAAUGCUUCACUUUUAAAUUCCCAUCUCCUGUUGUUGUCAGAAUCCAUAACAUAGCAAGCUAAACACCACAGUACAAAAGUUGAGAGAUUUUGCUUCUACAAGCUCUUUUUGUUCUUCUGCACUGCCAGUUCUUGAGUUGGUGUUUGGUAGUUGUGCCCUUCAGCUCAGCUUUUUACAAAUCCUCUUUAGUUGUGGUUAAAACUUUUCAAAGGAUGCCACUAAAUUUUCACUGAACAUGCACCAAACACUGAACAUCAAUAUAAAAUUGUUCCUUUUUCCAAAAAAAAGAGGAGAAAAAUAAGAAAAAAAAAAAAUAAAAAGAUUGCUCCUAGCUCCUGACAAAUCUUUCAGAGAUGUCCUGAAUUUCUGCCAAUGGACAUUGUGGUUAUUAAAGCAGAAGUCACGAGUACUAAUUGUGACUUGUACAGCAUUAGCAUGGGAACCGUGAAGCAAAAUACAAGUAAGCUACAGAAUUAUUAGGCUCAGUGGAAAAGUGAACCAUAGAUAUGGCUCAGGAUGUUGAAUCAGUAAACUUCCGGCCAUAUAUUUCUGAAAGGAGACAACCGACAGAGGUCUCCAGCUGGAACUGAUGCCUCCAGAGCACAGGAGACUAUGAGGUCCUACCUAAGACAGACCUGAGGAUGGCUCCUUCCCAGAAAUGUCUCAAGGCUCCCCAGCUGUGCAAGACAAAUGCUAUCUAGCAACAACACAAGAACAUGAUGUGGAAGGAAAGGUCAGACUGUGAGACACUGACAUAUGGGGAAUAGAAAGCCAGGACUGGGUGUGUAGAGACACCUAAGGAGCUCUUCGCAUCUUUGCCAUGGUUGGGGUUGGACAACUGAUUCUGGAAAGGGAUUUGAUUCUGAUGGUGAUGUCACUAGGGGAAAUAAUCUCCCAAUGAGUGCAGUAGGUGCUCCACUUCCUGGGCCCUUCUAAACAGCCUGGAUUAAGCACUGGAGCUGUUAGCCCUUGAUCUCAGAGGCUUAUCUACACAAUAAACAUGCCAGAGCACAGGCUCUGGCCCUGAAGGCACCUGGUGCGGUGCUGCUUGUGUCCAUACAAACAUUUAUCUCAAGAAAGUAGCUUCUUCUGUACUGCCUUUGGGACCAGUCACUGACUUAUAUGAUCCCCCAGAAGAUUAAUACUACUGCUGUACCGCCCUGUGGAUGUAGGCUGGGAGAUGUCACAAGUGAAAACUGUUCCAGAAUUCCACCAGAUGUGGCAAACAUGGGCUUGUGCCCAAGUCCUGCAUAGUCUCAAUGUAGUCUGAGGGAUCAUGGUCCUGUAGGCUUAGGAAUUGAUGGGAUGAAACAGAAGUGCAGUCUUGUUCCAACAACUUCAUAGCACUUGCAGAAACAUUCUAAAAAUCUUUAUGAGAUGGAUGAGAUUAUAAGCAUACAGCAAAAUAGGACUGAUAGAACAGGUAAAAAUAUGUGCUCCAUAAGCCAGUCAUAACCCUAAUUGUUAGACACCUGGCCCUCCCCACCAUCUAGGGAUCAUCUCUUUAUUUGUUUGCACUAACAAACUUCAGGAAACUUUCUGCCAACCCUGGAAUGGGUGCUGGGAUACAGUGGCUAGAUAAGAAACUGGGGAACACUGCUGCUUUGAGCCCAGGGUAAUUCAGGCUGGUUUGCAUCAUUCUCCUGGAGCAGAAGGAAAUGUGUCCAAAAGUCUGCAGAGACCUUUGAACAGCACUGAGUUUGGGGCGAGAAAGGACAUGGAGGAUGGGUCUUCUUCCUUCUCUCUGAGCUUUGUCAGAUCUGCACUGACCAAGGCGGAGCUGGUUUACAGAUAAACUGUACCAAUUUAUCCAUUGGUAAGGAAGACCUGCCAGCAAAUUAAUUUUUACUUGGGAUUCUCUAUACAGCUCUCCAAAGGGUAGAUUUUCAUAGGCUUGAAAGGUGGGUACAAAUGCCAUCAGAGGAGCAUCUUACUAUUCUUCACACAAAGAAAAACCAGCCCUUCUGCAUGUGCCUACUUGGAUGAGUCUCCAUUUGCUUAUGGUAGAGUUCUCAGUGCAGCAGGGCUUUUAUUUCAAUGCUGUAAUAAAAUAUCUGACAAAAAGCUCUUAUUUAAUUAUCAGUGCUCUGUCUCCAUCAGAAACUCCCAGUAUACCUGUUUUCAAAAUACAAGGUUUUUAACAGGUAAACUAGGUCAGUUAGGUCUUGACAGUAAAUACUGCAUCUAUAUCAUUUCUAUUUCUACUGAAGUGAAAAUUAUUAUUUUAAUGUAUUAUUAGUUGGUAUUUUUCACCGGAAUAUGUCACAUUAAACUAUCACAUUUAGCAUCCGAGUGUCCCAAAAACAAAGAUGUGAAGAAGCACAAUGUGACCUGCAGAAAUCAAAACAAAUUAACAGAGCCAGGUGCUUGUUGGUUGCUUCAUGGGCAAUGUCAUAGUGAAGAGCCACAUCCUUUCCUUGGUGUCACCAGUGUAACUUGCAACAGGAGCAUUGGAAUGAGCAUUUUCGUUAUGUUCUGGUUAUAAGGCAGGACAGUGAAUAUGAUAUCUGGGAAGAACUGUGUGUUUGAGUACAGGAACCCAGUGUAUGGAGCAAAGUGUGGUAAAGAUAUAAUGUGUUUAAUUAGUUGGCUUAAACAAAGGCUGUUGUUGAAAGGAAUUCCCCUCCUCAUCUCUGCUGCCCUCAUCUGCAGGGUUCUUCUCCCUCUCUUCAUGGUUCACAUAAUUUUACUGGAUGAGUUAAAAUUUCAGCCAGCUCAGUGGAGAUGGCUUGUGAGGCUUAAUUUGGCAUUUCCAGCCCAGCAGAACUAGUGAAUGUCUCAGCUUCCAGGUCCAGAUAUGUUCCUUCAUCACAUCAUGAUGCAGGACCAGGAGAAUAUGCAGAUACUCACUGACCUAUUCUGCCUUAUCCUGAUUCCCAUGGGCAAGAAACAUGGGUCUGUACACCAGAAGAGAGCUUAAUCUGCUGAGGUAGAUUCCCGUCUGGACAUCAGGGCCACAGAACUCUUGGGUGGUCAAAGCAUUUAACCCUCAGGUAAACACAGAAAAUGAAUGCAUGAAUUUGUAAAAUGCCAUACAUAAACUCUACUGUAGGGCUGGAGAUAAAUCUUUUAAGUACCAGUCAAUAGUCUCAGUCACAGGGUCUUGAGAUGUCUUCAGCAUUUACCACUGAACUGAGCUCUGUCUGAACUGGGAACGAUUAAUAUGACUGUGAUGACUUCUACAUCACUAAGCCAGACAGCUUGGCUUGAGAUCAAACUAGCCAAAGGAAUAUCACUGUCAAUAAUCUAUGGUUUCCAGAAGCCAAUGUCUUUUAACUAUUCUACCACAAGAUUGCUAGUGGGGUGUGUUUUCUAUUAUCUAAUUUCAUGAAGCCCAUCCUUAUUUAACAUUAUUUCAAAGUUUAAUAUAGUUUGUCUUUUCAUAGGUCACAGGACCCACAAAUCAAUAUAUAUUGAGAUAGCCAACCGCAAUGAGAUAGUUAAUUCUCAUCCACCAGGCUUUGAGCAUUACCUGCAUUGACUAAAGAUGGCAUAACUGGCUUCUUACACUGAAAAACAAGGAAAAAACACCCACUAAUAAUGCCAAGAACAGAACCCAAAUUAUUUAAUUUGGAAUUUUCACUGAAUUAAAUUAUCAGUUCUUCCACAUUCAGCAAUGACUUUUCAAACAAACUAAAGGGCAUGCAUUUGAAGUUUCUAGCUGCACUGUAUGUUUAUACCUCAUGUCCAAUUUCAAGAACAUUAAAGGCAAGAAUGCUACAAUCUGACUGAUAUGGACACUCGUGUUCUUUCUCUGUUGUAUAAAUUGCAUUUUAUUGUAUUUCAGUAAGAAGUUUGUAUAUAAACCUUGGUGCCACAGGUGAAAAUAAAUUUGCUGCAGGGUGUUUGGCAACUAUACAACAGCAUAAGCCCAUCUACACAGUUUAUUUUUACACAUAGACUUUACCAGCUGGUAGCAAGUCGUUAUCCUACGUGUAACAGUGUGAAAGGUUUUAGCUUUAUAAAGCACCAGCUGUCAUUUCCAGUUUCUUCACAAAGCUCCAAAUACUCAGCAGUUCCCUUCAAAUGCUAGUGUUUAGGUCUGUGUGAUCACACACAGCUCUUCUCUUCCUCUGAUUAAAAGCAAAGACUUUAAUGGCUUUAUGAUUAAUGAGAAAAGCUUGGAAAUGUCAUUAUUCACAACUUAAAACUCAGAAGGUAAACAGUAAUAAUCCAAAUGCAUUUGGCUUAAAGUUAGCAGAGUAAAAUGUAAAUAAAGACAAGCAGAAAAAAACACAAACAAAAAACAAAUUUCAGAAUGGCAGUUAUAAAUGACCUGGAAAGGCAAUUUAUGGUUCACUAAGAGGAUGGGGGGGUGUAUUAUCCUCAGCCCCACCAUGGCAGGAUUCCAGACCCAGUCAAUGAUUGCGUAGUAUUGCUAUGGUACGCACAGAUAAUAUAAUUUUUUCUAAGUGCACUGUUCAGAGUCUUAGCAUUCUUUAGUAACGUUGAAUAAAAGAUAAUGCCUGAAGCAGCUUUCAGCUUCUGCAGGAUUAAAUGGACUACUGCCCAAAGCCCUAUUGAAUUAUCACUUUGAGGAUACCUACUGGAAAGAAGUCAUGCCCAGCCUCGGUGUGACAUCCUGCAACGCCACAGGCAAAGCGAUGCUAAGAUAUGACUUGUGUAGCAAUGACAUUACCCAAAUCAUGGCACGGUCAUUCUUGACCUGUCAUAGGUCCAGGAGCUACUUUCUCUGCUUGUGGAACCAGCUCCAACAACCACCACUGAUGAGGGCAUCUGACAGAAGAUACGUGUGGACUUUUGUUCAUGCAGAGAGGGGAGCACAACCAUUUUAAAACUCUUUUCCUUCAUCGGUUCUUUACAAUGCUUUCGAUCCAAAUUUUCCAGGUUCAGUUUUGAAUCAAGCUGCAUUUAUAGAACAUUUUUCUGUUAAAGUAGUUCUGCUCAUUCAGAAAACAGAGAUGGGGAAUUAACUCAGCCAGCUUCUGUUGAGACAUCUCAAUAUUUUUAAGCAUUUGGCUUUGUGAUAUGAGUUUUUUACCACAUUUUUGUAUGACAGUUUACAACUAGGUAAAGGCCAUUUACAAAUGCAAAUUCCUUGCAUUUGCUGCUUCUCUGGAUUUGGGAAAUAUGUAGUGGUUUGUUUUUUUUUCCAUCCACUUUUUGUUUAUGAACAUAAAAGCAGUGAAAAUAAUGAUGCUCCCAUGACAUGAAGUUUUUGUUCAUAAUAUCACCAGGAAACAACAUUUAUAAUACAAUCAAGCCAACUCUAUUGCUAAGAUUUUUUCUUUUUUUUCAAAACAUUUUUCAAGCCAGGGAAAAACAUAAACCUGCUGCUAAUUUUUUCCAGCAUUCCCCUAUGUCUCUGUCCUUCUGUCUUUCUCCUUGAUUAUUUUAACUCCUAUUGAGCUUUGUGUAUCUCUUGUACAGGACUACAGAACACUUUUCUGGAUAUUUUUGUCUCCUCCUUGUGUAAAACUCUAUUAGAAGUUAUAUCUAUUCAAUUGUCUUCCUACAGAAAGGUAGAAGAGAAGACAGUAAAUAAAACCUUGGGGUAAAAGUAUUUGGACUCUCUAAAUAAAUGUCUUUAAGAGGGUAAGUUGCAGACAACCUGUUGGUAUGAGGUAGGUGGGUUAUAAUGAUGGCAUUAAGUCCCUGUGGCUAUGUACUUGUGUAAAUCUCUUAAUCACAACCUAUUUUUUCCCACCUGAAACAUGAACUAGGAUCAAGUGCAGGUGGUACUAUUGAGGAUUAAGUUUUGCUUCAUUUUAGUGCAGUUUUUUAAGCUGCAGCUAAAUAAAAUUUAAAGGGGUGAGCAAACUAAAAGGUUUAAUGUUUCAUGCAUUUCAUUAAUUUAUUAGCCCAUUUCUCAAGAUUUUUGUACAAUUUUGUAAUUAAAUCCUCAAAGUUUAAGAGUGAGGUUAUAGAAGAUCUGUCUUACAUUUCUUUUACUUCCAACAGAAAGCUGUUCUCUUAAAUACAUCUGUCUCUGGUUUUGAUUCCAGAUAAGACUCUGAACUUUGGUUAGAAUUGAUGAAGAACAUUGCAGUGCUUUGUCACCCUGCAUCUUCAAAAUUUGAACACAAAUGGAGUAUUUGCUAAUGUCUCUCUUUUAUUACACCCUGUUCUCUGCAAUGUCAAACAUGUAGUCUUCCAGAGACGCUAAAAAGGGAGAGCCCACUCAUUGUCCUUGUUCAUAAAGAGCAGCCGAUGUGGCUAAUCUGACCCUUCAUAGAACCUCUGGUCCCACUACCACUUCAAUAACCAAAUAAUCGAAAAUUUAAAUGGAUGACAUUUGAAAAGGUAGCACCAGAGAUCAAUUUUUUUUCCCAUUUUAUUUUAUACUUCCCACAACUGUCUGCAAUGUUGUUCAUGCCUUUUCUCUCCCUGCUAUGUGGGUCACAGACUUGCUUGCUCCUAAAAAGUCAUUGCUUUUAUCUGUGACCAGAACCAGUCACACUGCUGCAGAUCUACCUGUCCCAUACCUUGCUGUGGAUCAUGACUGCUAUUUUUUCCCACUCAUGAGAUGUGCCAAUAGAUAGAUAGAAUAGAUAUGAGGAAGAAAUUCUUCACUACAAGGGUGGUGAGGCACUGGAACGGGCUGCCCAGAGGAGCUGUAGAUGCCCCAUCCCUGGAAGUGUUCAAGGUCAGGCUUUGAGCAACCUGGGCUAGUGGAAGAUCAUGGUGAGGGGGUUGGAACUAGAUGGUUUUAAGAUCCCUUCUAACCCAAACCAUUCUAUGAAAAACUUCAUUUUCCUAAAUAGUUGCACUGUUGUUAUAGGUAUAAAAGAACUGGAGAGUAAACUGUGGAAGCUUCACAUGAAUGGAAAGAGCAGGCUCAUUUUCCAACCUCAGCAAUUGCUCAGGUUUCCCUAAGGGCAGCUCUCCCACACCUGUCUCUCUCUCUGCACAAGGCAGGGUUGGUUCCACAGCAUGUGCUACCUGCUAUGCGCUCCGUGCUGCUUCCAUGGCUGCACCUGCCUGCAAACCACUGUGCACAUCCCCUCCCUGAUGCUCACUCUGUCCAAAUUCUGUUCUUGUAGCAGGUUGGUCCUCAUUGGAAGAGUGUUUAGAUCUGCCCGUAGCAGCAUAUGAAUUUACCUUCUUGUCCCAGGGCUGCAGUGACUGCUGUCUGCUCAACUUCUCCUUGUCGACAAUAGCUCAGGUUUGGUCACCUGUUUUGCUUCCACUGGGAACAGUAUCCUUUUUUCCUGAUCUUCUACUAGAAUUGGAAGGAGUGUGGGAUAUGCACUUCUUGUGAGGUGGACAGCAGAAAAGCGUGGCAUGGGUACUUUCCAGUGUGUGUGCAUAUUACAGUAAGGACCAGGGCUGCUAGAAAUGCCUACAAUUCUGAUUAUUAAAUUAUUAAAUUGUUGGUCUCCACUUUUUAAAAGACUUUAAUGUGCUUGGAGCAGGAAGGUGCUUAAUUUGUACUACAGCUAGAGCAAAGCAUAGACUGUGAGUUGAUUAGGUGCAUUGCAGUUGCUGACAUGUAUUCCUCCAGGCAAACACCCAGGAUUUAUUUAGUGUAACACAUCAACACCAGCCAGCUGGUGGCUGUGCACAAGAGGGUGGGAACAGGGGGGAUUUCCUUGUGCAUCUGUCAGGAUCAUUCACAGAAGCUGAUUCCCAUCCUCAGCCUGGCUUCCUCCAAGCAAGGGAGAACAUUGGCUAAAGACUGGUGCAUUGACCUCCAGCUGGGCUAGAUCAGAACCUAGAGGACACAGAACUUUGCUGAGAAAAGAAAUGGAAGGGCAUUGCAGCUUUUCAGAGGUCAUUCUUACCUCCAGGGCUGAUCAAAGGGUCUAAGAAGUUGUUCAGGCAUGUCACUGGCAAACAGGCAUCCAGUCAAUCAUGUCAUAUUUAGGUCAUUUGCCUAAACGGGGAGAAGGAGCCAAGAGAAAAAUGAGCAGUCGGCAGAAUGCAUCCCUCAGUGUCUCCACUCAGCCAUUCCUGCCCUUGGUGCAUCCGCUGUCUGUCUUGCCUGCUGGAGGACAGGGCUGCAAGUUACUCUCACUUUGCAUGAUCUAUUAAAUCCUGUAGAUGAGCUCUUCAUCAUUGGUAAUUAUUACUAGCCAACAUCUACCCAAAAGCACGUAUUUGGCACCAAUAUGUAAAGUAAGGGAAGAACAACAGCCUUGAGUGAUCCUUUUGGUGCCCAACUAUUUCCACAGCAAUGUGGGUUUAAGAAUAAUUUCAGCAGAAGUUCCACAUUUGGGAACUCCUCAGUCAUCUUUUUACUCCAGCCAUCUUUUCAGUACAGCCUGUCAAUGGCCUCUGGAGCUGUGCAGAACCAUUUCUGUGGAUGUCCAACCUAUUUUUCUAGUGUUUUUCACUUCUUUCUUUUUCAGUUUGUACACAGGCAGAAAAUAUAUCUGAAUCUGCGGGAUAUAUUUGGAAAAUUAAAAAGAAAAACAUUGUGUUUAUUUUGAGAAAACAAAGAAAAAGGCACACAUUUUGUAACAGAGCCAAGGUGGCUGUUUAAAAUAUUGAUACUGAUACAGAAGGCCUGUUGACAGAAUGAUAGUUCAGCUUUGCAUGUAUUUGUCUUUCCCUUUGUUCUCCAAUGAGACAAGCCUGUUUAUUUAUGCCAGGGGCAGAUUGCAUUGUGCAGAUAAAGGCACUAAGAAUGAAUAAUGAACACAUUGGACAGGCGAGGAGCGUGCAGUAGCCCUUCUUGGCUGGAGACUGAUGAUUUUAAUUCAGCGUGGAGGAUCACCCGCUGCUGGAGCUGGGAGGGAAGAGCUGCCCUUUGAGCCCUGCCCUGCUCAGAAACUUGGGGUGGAUUUAAUCUCACAUAACUUUGGACAUCUAUAGCAUCAUCCUGUGUGUCCUUUACAAUCAGUAAGAGUAAUGGACACCUUUAUGAGGCCUGUUUUCAGAGGAGGUGACCCCACCAGACACUGGAUCUCCUCUGACUUUGAAGGGGCCCUUGAGGGACCAGUGUGGAUUGAGAUAUUUGAGUGCUAGUAGAUACAUUUAACCAACUGAAUGCAUCACUGGUGGGUAGAAGGCACUUUAUUUUUUUUUUAUUCUAUCUACCAGAAGCUCUCUUUGCUGUAAAUGUAUAUAUUCAAACUUUUUAUCUGCAACCAUUCCCUGGAGGGAAGGAUGCAUAUGUAGCAAAUUUAAGCCUACUGAAAAAACAAAGCUUGCUUUUCCUGUUUACUUUUCUCAGACUCCAUAGAAAUAGUCCUCUCAUUUGCCAGGCUCCACGGAUGAAAGGGUAUAAACCACCCAGUUUUAGAAAGUGUAUUGUCAGUGAAGCUACAAAAAUGACCUCAGUGACACGGAUAGUGGCUUGUGGUUUAUGAACCAUUGAGGUACCUCCAGAGAACAUAAUAACUAAUUAUGGAGGAUGAAGAAAUAAUAAGCAAAAUUCUGCUUCCCCCUACACUGAUAUGAGUGUGGAAAAUGGUUAUCUGACAGUGCUCAGGUUUUAUUGAAGCAGUUGCUGCUGGACUAAUUCUCCUCUCCAGUAAGCCAGGUUUUGACCUUCAUGACAGGAGAGAUAAGGCAGCCUGAAUGUCUACUACUUUUCUCCAUCACCAAGAUGGGUGCCUGUGGCACCAGAAGCAUUGCAGGGGUCCCAGUCCAUGUGAAUGAUUUUUUUGCCCUUAAACCCAGCUUGACUUUAUAUUUGUGAACUAUUUUGUCUCCAGGUGCAGCCUCUAACAGUGAAGAAGAUACAUCACAGGUGCUUUUCACAAAGCCUUUCCCUAUGUGUUGUACCUAUAGUGACUUCCUUGAUGGAGAAGUACACAUUUUUUCCAGGAAACUCUGAAAUCCCUCCAUUGUCUGCUGAAAAUCAGGAAUAACUGUUCAUCUGUUUUACAAAGAGACAGAAACAUUCUGCUGCUGUCCUAUUAAAAUAAUGACUGAUAUGAUUUUGAAAAAUCAAGCAGGGGGAGUGAAAGUGCAUGAGAGUGUGUGUGCAUUGCAUAAAAGCUUGAGUGAGGAUUAACAUUAUAUUAGUAAUUCAACGACUCUGAAUCACGGCAGUUUUCGUUUAAUGUUUCACCAAAUGACUAUAACCUUAAAAGUCAAAUACAUGACAGAUGCACUUAAUUAUCUCACUGUAAGAAAAAUAAUGCUCAGAACUGUUAAACAGAAGAAAUGAAACAUGACUAAGCUGGCAUUUGUUACAGUGUCUAGUUUUAGACUUUUCCAAGCCAUCUGAUGGUAAGGGCGAAUCUGUAAGUGAUGAGUAGUUACUAAUGCCAUUUCGUCUUCAGGGAGACAGCAGUCAUGGUCAAAGUAACGCCUUCUGUGCCAUUUUCCACAUGGGGCAUGGAGCUGGGCUAGGUCCUCACCAAGAUGCUUCUGCCAGGAGAAAGGAAUAUCUGGGAUGAAGAGAGCGGCAGAAACUGGGAGCUUCAGCACCUCACCACUGUCACCACUGGAACUGGGGGAAACAUCCUUUCCAGAGCAAGGCCCAUUGCAAGGUCACCAAGAAAUCAAUAACUUUGAGAGGUUUAAACUAAACAAAGAACAGUAUUUUAUUUUUCUGGUUUUUUUUUUUGUUGUUGUUUCGUUUUGUUUUUUCUUUUUUUAAUUUGUAUUUAUCAUGGCAAAAUGUAAUACUCAGUUCCUUAAAUGCAUAGUUCAGCAUAUAGGUUGCAGCAGCAAACACAACAUACAGUUUUGUGAGCAAACACAACUGGCUGUCUAAUGAAGAGAAUGUUACCAGCCUCGUGACAUAACUUGUUCUCAUCUUUAUCUUUGAGAUUAAUUUUAAUUCUGAAAAAAACCUUGACAUUAAUGGUAAAUCUAGCCAUAGGCUUCAAAAAAAUGUACCUCUCCAGUGCCCUUGGCUACUCCAUCAGAACACAAGGCUUCUGACUGGAGUACUUUUUAAUCUAGUGUUUCUUUCUUCUUCUCUUUCUUUACUCAAAUUUUUAUUCAUUACGAAUUCAAGAACUGUUGAGAUGAAAAAUGAUCACGUUUAAAUUUCUUUUAUGUUAAACAUGUCAGUGAAGCAGCAAAGUGCUUUUUGUAUUUCUCCAUUACCCAAGGCAUUUCUUAAAGCCUUUUCUCAUGAGCUACUUUUACCCAAAUGCCUGGGAAAAAGAAAAAAAGGUCUCCUGAAUGAACUGAUUUAUGAACACAGCUAUUGGGUUUUAGCACGUUUCAUUUUUUGUCUUUCUCUUCUGGAUGAAAGAUAUUUAGUCUAUGAAUAUUAUUGCUUUUAAAAACCCUCUCUCAUAUAUCUCAUGUAAUCACAGAGAUUAGAGAUAGAGAAGAGUUA